rnacentral:lncRNA from 1 species
UCGCCGUCGACGUGAUCUCAACCUUCGCUGGCCUUCCGUAACCGAAAUCCACUCCGUACAUCCCCAGCCUCGGCGACCCUGCCACUCCGACCGCGAACUCCGGUUUUCCCGUAAACAGAAAAUUAGCUAGCCUCUCCUUCGCUCCCACCAAAACUCCUUGCUCCAACACCUUGAUCGUCUCUAUGAUCUUCCCCGCCGUGUACGCCGCGCCGCCGUCUUCGUCCACCGCCUCCGCUGCAUGCAGGACAACUUCGAACGGGGACACACAGUUGCCGAAGAAAUUCUCCGGCGCCGGAGGAUCCAAUCGCGAUCUGAAGUCGGCAGUGAACGCUAGCUGGAUCGUCGCCGACUCUCCUCUCAGCUCCCUUUUCGCCUUCACGAGGCAAACGGCGGUGUGCGCCAGAGUGAUUACGAAGCUCGACAAAUAAUUAGGAUUUUCUAUUUUCGGGAUCAAUGCUUCCUUCAAUUUGUUGAUUCUUUCUCUGGAGAAGUGGAACGCUGCUCGCAAUCGUUUCGAUUCACUAUCUACCAAACUCCAUAGCAGCUCCAAGCUUCUAGGGUUUGGAUUCGGAUCCAUACCUGGAAGCUGCUGCCGGAGCUGGAACCAAUUGUUCCAAUACUCCAAUGCAAUCUCAUCUGAAUCGACGAAUCGCAUCCGACCGAAGACCGGAGUGAGUGCCUCCGGCAAGGGAGAAGGACCGUUGUCGUCAUCUCCGAUCAGCCUGCAAGUAUGAGCCCAUGCUUUUACGAACAUAGCUUGCGUUUUGCCGUCGAGAAUGCUGUGGUGAGUAGAUAAGCCGAUACAGAAUCCACGAUUGGGGAACAGAGUGAUCUGCAGAGACAGAAUCGUGGCAGCUGAAUCGGUGACGGGAAACUCCGGUAUGUAAGCGAGUGAAUCGGAAGCUUGGCGAGCUUCGUCGCUGGCGAUAUGGUCAAAGUUGUCGGUUGACUCGGCGACGGUGAGGAAGACGGCAUCGCCGGGGGUGUAGAGGAUGAUCGGGAGGAUGGCGUUGUCGAGGUCUGAAGUAGGCCAAGUGAUGCUUCCGGCGAGAGGGAGGAAGUAGUGGAGAGUGAGCGACAGAGAGCGACGGAGUUUUGGAAUGAGUUGUGAUCGGAAUAAGUCGGAGGAUAGAUUUGGGACUUGGUAGAGAAAGAUGCGCUCAACCGGAGGGAAUUUAAUCCACAGAGUGUCGAAGAAGGUUAGACCGAGGGAGAAUGGAGUGGACGGCGCCGGUUCCGGUGUGACUUUGAGAACGUCGAGGACUUCGACCGCCGAAUUGGAAGCCAUAAAGGCGGCAAUGGGAAAAUGAAAGAAGAAAAGCAGGGGAGGAGGAAAAAUGUUAGUAGUUGGAUUUGCUGCCAUUCGUGCUCUUUAAAUAAUUACUCAGCCAGCUGUCAGUACGUGACUCGUUUAUGUGUUUUUUUUGUUAGUAAAUUUGUGUUAUUAGAUUUAUAAUAGCUUUUUAACCGUCCGGUCGGACCUAUAAAAUUUUCAAAUUUACAUCAGACCGGUCUAGUUAUUUUUUGAAAAAUCUCCCGGUUUUAUGCCAUUAAUCAUUGAACUGUUAAAACCUCUAGAAGUAUUCAAACCUUAUUUUUACGGUUCAUUUGACUCGACAAACAGCAAACCAUUAAUUCAUUAUAUGAACUAUAUAUGAAUAUGAAUCACGUCGGGGGCGGAACUAGAGUGGUUCGGGGGAGUUUUGACUUACUUAAUUUUGGUCCGGACCAUUAAUUUCGGAUGUAUAUUUAUAAUUUUUACGAUUUCGACUCAGUGUUUGUAUCAAAUGAAAUUGAGUUGAAAUAGAAAAAUAUUAUAAAUGAAAAUUUGUAUCAAAUGAAAUAAAAAUUCCANNNNNNNNNNNNNNNNNNNNNNNNNNNNNNNNNNNNNNNNNNNNNNNNNNNNNNNNNNNNNNNNNNNNNNNNNNNNNNNNNNNNNNNNNNNNNNNNNNNNUAUCAUAUUUUAUUCUUUUUAAUCUCAACUCAACAAUUUUAUAUUAUUUAAAUUUAAUUUUUUAAAAAAUUAUAAUUUCAAUUAUUACAAAAUUUCUAACCUGGUCUGAAACUCUGGGUUCAUUACAUGGACCCCUUCAUGACUGUUUUUAGUAAAUACGACUCUGCCCUACAGCUUCCCUCCGACAUCAUAACAUGUUCCUGGGUCCAGAACCUGACAGAAGCUUUCUUAAUCUCAUCUGUCUUUUCAUAAGGCAAAAGUAAAUAAAGGAUAUACCUCAUGCNNNNNNNNNNNNNNNNNNNNNNNNNNNNNNNNNNNNNNNNNNNNNNNNNNNNNNNNNNAAUAAUAUUUGGUUUUUUUAUGAGAGUUUUGUUGUUUUUAUAGAUUAUUUGAAUUGGGUAUUUGAAAGAGAUAUUUUGGUCUAAAUAUUAUAUUAUGUGAUAUUUUGGUUAAAAUAUUACGUUUGAUAUUUGAAAUAUAAUCGGUGAUAUUUUGAUAUGGGGNNNNNNNNNNNNNNNNNNNNNNNNNNNNNNNNNNNNNNNNNNNNNNNNNNNNNNNNNNNNNNNNNNNNNNNNNNNNNNNNNNNNNNNNNNNNNNNNNNNNNNNNNNNNNNNNNNNNNNNNNNNNNNNNNNNNNNNNNNNNNNNNNNAAGGGAUGUUUUUAUGAAAAGGCAUGUUGGUUGAGCAUGUAUUUUGAGUUUAUGAUGACUUAAUUUUGAGUUUAAGAGAGUUUUAUUUUGAGUUUUUAUAUUAUUUUUUAUGAAUUUUGUGGUAUUUUUUCAUAUUUAAUUGACAUGAAUUAAAUUGUUUCGCGUUUUCAUUUUGCCAAUACGUUUUCUAUAACAAAAAAGUUAUCUAUCUCCGUUUAUUUUAUAAACAAUCCGUAACCUCAUGCGGAUAAUUCUAAUGAAUGAUAACAGGAAAAAGGAACACACUUUACACAAAGGUGUACAGAAUAACUUGAUGAACAACAGUACUAUGGUUUACAAUACAGUUCAUACUUUACAUAAUGUUAUCUUACAAACAUAUUUCCAUGCAUCCACUGGUGGCUUUUUAGUUUCGGCUUAGGCAGUGGGAUAGGAAGCUUGCAUAGCAAUUCCGCAGAGACCUUCUUUGGCUGUAACAUCCUUUUGCAUACGAAUAUAUCCAGCUUCUCCCCACUGCGCUCCCCACGAGUUCUUCACCAACCAGUACUUCAUCCCACCGCUCUCUCCGUAGCCCACCGCCGUCACUCCAUGGUCUAGUUCGGUCCCGCAUUCCCCGGUAAAGAUCCCACUCGAGUAGAAUUGGAAGGACGAAUCCCCUGCAUCAAUUGCCACUGAAAUCGGUUGGCUCGCCACAGCCUUCAUCAAUGCAGCCUCAUUGUUGGCUGGCACAUCUUCGUAGCCCGAAAUCUUGGCUGCACUGCUGCUUUCUUUGUUAGCAUUGCAGGUUCCAUCAGCAGCGUCAUAAGGGUAGUUGGUCUCGGUGGUCAAGCCCUUGUUUUGAAUAACGAACUUGAACGCAUCGUCCAUCAACCCGCCGUUACAUCCUUGGUCCUCCCCCUUGGUGUCGCAGUCAACCAAUUCCUGUUCCGAAAGGGACACCAAUUUGCCAGUACUCAGCUGGUGGAUUCCUUCCAUGGCUCCCACGGCCGAAAAUGCCCAGCAGCUUCCGCACUGACCUUGGUCUUUGAUAGGAGUGACUGCUCCCUUCUUCCUCCAGUCCAUUGUAGUUGGGACCGCACUCACAUUUUCGUACCUGAAAGGCCCAUGCUGGGGAGAGCACAUGUGCCCCUUGAACCCAUUUCUAGAGGCUUUGAACUCCUGGUUAGUCAAAUCAGCAAACUGAUUGACUCCAAGCUUGUAAGACUUGUCUCCAUCAGCAUUGGACGAGUCGAUGAAGGCUACGUUGCGUUUGAAGAUCUGGUAGCGAGCCUCCUUUUCACUAGGACUAUUGUAGACUCGACCGUAACGAGUCAUCCACUGCUCAUGCCUGAGGCGUAUGGAAGCUUCAGGAAGGGUAUAGCGCGCCGUGGCCUCAGAAACUAGAGAUCCUCCCAGUAUAAAGAUGGAAGCCAGGAGAAUGAACUUGUUGUUCAAAGCCAUUUUGUGAGCUUGUUGGUUUGUCGGGUGUGGAUGUUGAAGUAUUGGUUUGUGAGUUUGAUAGUUUGAUAUGAUCUGUUCUUAUAUAGAGAGAGCAGCAGAGCCAUGGCAUUGAACGAUCGAUGGCAUUCAAAUCUGGAAGUUGAAGGGUGAGGUGUUUUCUUCUGCGGUGAUUGAUCGGCCACAUCAACGUUCCCCGGAAAUCCUUCUGAUUGUUGAUAAUUGAGUUGAGCUGUCCAAAGUUCAUGUUGAAUAAAGAAACAAGAAGUUUCAAGACUACAUGUUGAUUCCUUUCCCAGUUUUGACAGAUAUUCUGUCUUUCAUGGAUCCUAAUGCUUGGAAAUAUAGCUUUGUUGAUUACAAAAUCAAGGCUACAUAGUUCAUAUACAGUAUACCUGUUUAGGGCCGUCUGACGAAACAAAACUCAAACACUAUGCUACGACAUUUGAAGUAGCAGUUUCAUUUAUACCAAAUUUUGUAACCCAGGAUAUUGAGAGGCUGAGCCAUUGAAUAAGAUGCUAUUACAACGAUUCUUGAUUUGCAUGUUUCGAUUCGAUGGCUUCAUAUUGUAAGCCAAUGUGUACAUGAUGAAAUAAGCAGGUCUGCUACUUCUAGGCAUUAUCAUAUGAAAUACUAAUUUCCUACCCCCAAGACAAAAUUAUUAUCUGUAAAAAAACAGAGGAGAUGUCAAAAUUAUUAACUGGUAAGGAAGUUGGUAUUAGAAGAUCCUCCAAGUCACGUUGAUGUGGCCAACUCAAGUAACAAAACAUAUCACCCUUCCACUCCACAGUCUGAAUGCAUGAGUUCACAAUCGGCGCUUUGAUCCCAUAUGCCCUAUAUAAAACCCUAAGGAUAUCAGUCCAUCAAACUCACAACCAAUUCUCAUCCUAACCAAAUCAUUCCAUUAAUCCCAAAAGCCCAGCUUUCACUAAAAAAAUGGCGACACCAAACUGCAAAUUCAUUCUCUUGGCUUCCCUAUUCAUCAUGGGAGCCCUGGCUUCUCAAGCCAGGGCAAGCAUUUCACUUUCUGAAGCUGCCAUGCGCAUCCGGUAUGAGCAAUGGAUGACUCGUUAUGGACGAGUCUACGACAGUCCCACCGAAAAGGAGACUCGCUUUCGCAUCUUCAAAGACAAUGUAGCUUUCAUCGACUCUUCCAAUGCUGCUGGAGGCAAGUCUUACAAGCUUGGAGUCAAUCAGUUUGCUGAUUUGACUAACGACGAGUUCAAAGCCUCAAGAAACGGGUUCAAGGGACACAUGUGCACUCCACAGCAUGGACCUUUUAGGUAUGCAAAUGUGAGCGCGGUCCCGACGACUAUGGACUGGAGGAAGAAGGGAGCAGUCACUCCUAUCAAAGACCAAGGUCAAUGCGGAAGCUGCUGGGCAUUUUCCGCCGUUGGAGCAAUGGAAGGAAUCCAUCAGCUCAGUACUGGAAAAUUGGUGUCACUUUCGGAGCAGGAAUUGGUUGAUUGUGACACCAAGGGAGAGGACCAAGGAUGCAACGGCGGGUUGAUGGAUGAUGCAUUCAAGUUCAUCAUUCAAAACAAGGGCUUGACAACCGAGACCAACUACCCUUAUGACGCUGCUGAUGGAACCUGUAAUGCUAACAAAGAAGGCAGCAGCGCAGCCAAGAUUACCGGGUAUGAAGAUGUGCCAGCCAACAACGAAGCCGCAUUGAUGAAGGCUGUAGCGAGCCAACCAAUUGCAGUUGCCAUUGAUGCAGGGGAUUCAUCAUUCCAGUUCUACUCCAGUGGAGUAUUCACCGGGGAAUGUGGAACUGAGCUAGACCAUGGAGUUACUGCUGUCGGGUAUGGAGAGAGCGGUGGGAUGAAAUACUGGUUGGUGAAGAAUUCGUGGGGAGCACAGUGGGGAGAAGCCGGAUACAUUAGGAUGCAGAAAGAUGUGACCGCCAAAGAAGGUCUAUGCGGAAUCGCCAUGCAGGCUUCCUAUCCUACUGCUUGAUUGUUACUUUGAUUAUGGUCGUAUAUAAGUAUCCGUCAGUGGCUUAAUAAUUGUUAUAUCUAAAUGCAUGUUUUGCUUGUUUUAAAAAAUGUAUUAUGUCAUUGUACAUUAUUAUGCAUCUUUGGACUGUAAUAUAAAGUUCCCAUUUUUAACAGUUUUCUACUUUUUUUUUUACUAUUCGUGAUCAUGUUCAUCUUUUUACUGUUGUACAUACAAAUUUCCACUUGGUGGAGUCACUGGAGUGCUUUUGUUUAGAUAGAGACACAUAAAAUCUUGUCGCAAGGGCUGACACCAUUGGCCCAUAUGCUCCCUACAACAAAUUAGUUUUUCUGCAGUGGGAAAUUUGUAACAGGUUAUCAGUCACUAUUUAUUCUUUUUAGCGACGGAAACAGUAACUGUUCCUAGGAACCCAAUUCAAGGUUUAGUCAGGCAUCGUGACUGAACUGUAUCUUAUGAACAGUGUUGCUUAAACUAGAAAAUAUCGGAGAGGUACUCAACUAAAUCUCUGCACCAUUAGCAGCUCAAUCGUCAUCAGUUUACGAGCUAAAACCCAUCCAUCAACGUUAUGUUCGUUACAAGGCAAUUCACCUUCUGCCGUAUUGUUUCUUUCAAUGGAGAAAACGGACAAAAAUUCCCACCUCCAACAUCAAAUAGGAGUGUAUACAAGACUCACUAAGAUUACCAUUUUGACAUUGUAUCAUCAGAUUCAGAUGUCUUGUUCCAGAGGCCUGCUGCCGAAUACCCUACCAAAGACUCCCCUAUUUCGCUAUCUGAAAAUCCUCAUACACGUUUUUUCUUCUCCAAAUUUGCCGCAGCAGCACGUUGCUUUUUCUGCCAGGCUGGAACCUUGCCAGGGAAUGCCCACCUCAACAAUCUAUCCCACGAAUAGCAGGCGAAGUAGGUAAGCAAAGCCCAGAUCAGAAGCUUGUUCCUCAAACCCGGCGGCAAAGGCACCAACUUUAACCAGUCGUUCAGAUCCCUGAACAGAUCCGAGGUUAUGAUGGUAAAAAACCCACCAGCACCCAGAAUUGCAUACAAGAAAGGUUUGUUCUCUGAGAUACUCUGGUUGAAAGGAUGUCCCAUGUAGUUCACUGCAAAAGUGGCAACCUGGAGCAUCAUGCUCACCAUGUACGAAACCGUGUUGACCAGAUUCGGGUGGAAAUCGGAGUCCGGCUCGAUGCACUCCUCCGGCAUGUGCUUCUCCGCUUCUUUCACUGAAGAAAUGAGGAAGACCAAGUGCAUUGCAAACUGCCCCAUCAGAGAAAGGAAGACGUAGAAGCAGAAGAUGUUAGGGUGCGGUCGCUCUGACGAUAAAGUAGGGAGCGGCCUUGCGUGAGAAAUGAAGAGGAAAAAUGCGGCCGUAAAUAUGCCGCUGAUUGUUGCCUGUACGUCGCCGAGCUUCACGCCAUCCAAGUACAUGACACUAAGCACGUAGGCAGUGGCAAGGCAGUUCAGACCCAGGAUUUUAAACAUCUGAAGGGUAGUCACCAGAGUGCUGCGACCUUGACGAAUAAUGUCGGUAGUUGGGGCAACUGACGCAUGCUUGGCUGUAAAAGGUGACGCCAUUGAAGCAUCACCUAGUUUGACUACGGGAGCAGAGCGGCCAUCGCCCUCUUCGUUCAUCUCAUCCAUCAGUUUCUUCAGUUUCUGCUGCUGCAUUUCUACAGCUGUUAGAUGACGGUUACCAGCUGACGACCUACUGCUUGACUCUGCCUUAGUCAUAGCUUUGCUCUUUGAAGAUCCUGUCUCAGUAGCAUUUGCUUUCUUGGGUUUGACAGUCUUUUGAUUUCCUUCUUUCCCAUCUUUCCCAUCUUUCCCAUCUUUAUCUUUAGCUGUUUCUGAAGAUGGAGGUACUGCAUUCAACAGUGCAACACCGACAUGGGCCUGAAAAAUUGUAUUAGAAUGUUAUUUCUUUCCCUAGCUACGGGAAUCAGGUUUGUACCUAAAAUUGAAGGAAAGCAUCAGAGAUCUAACUACAGAUGAUGAAUUAAUGGAUGCACCCCAGAUUGCACUAUUCAAAACCCGAAGUUACAAUCAGAUUUAUGCCAUCAUUAAUAGUAUAAAUAUAGUCACCUGCUUCAGAGCUCCAACGUCAUUUGUUCCAUCACCGCACAUCAAUGUAACUCUCCCUACUGUCUUGAAUGUAGUCAUGAUCAAUUCUUUUUGUUCAGGGGCCACCCUUGCAAAGACCUGAACAAAAGUUCAAUGUUAUCUUGAGAAAGAAAAUAAUACAACGUUAUACAAAACAAUAAAUUGAAGAUUUGAUGCGAGAGAAUGGCACCUUGACAAAAGGAAUGACUCGAAGAACAGCUGAACUCUGUUGCAGCAUUUCCAUACAGUCACCUCCAAUGCAAAGGUCAUGAGUUUCUGAUAAAGCCUCAACCUCUUUGUCACUGUGAUUCAGCUCUAAAUUCUCAGAUGCCGAAACAAACAAAAAAAGCAUAAAAAAACAAGCACUAGAAGUCUAGAACUCUAAUGCAAUAGAACAUAUCUUUGAAACAAAUCCCUUUGCAAAUUCACUCCAAGUUUAAACUUGAAAAGGAUUCAUAGAGGAUACGCAUGAAAUUAUACUGCAGUGUCUACUCACUACUGCAAACUACCACAUGAUUCAAGUCAUUGCAACAGGAAAAAUCACCGCAGAAGCAAAUUUACACAUUCAAGGUUGAAGAGAUGGCCAAAUGGGAAAGUUACCUGUACGGGACAGUUUCUGUUUCAUCUGGUGAAAUCCACUCGUAUCCUUCGUUUCUCGAUUUGACAAGUAUCAAUGUUGGCUUCGAGAUUAUAUGCACUUGGUUAGCAACAUGGCAAGCUGUCAACGCUUGGUCGCCGGUAAUCAUUGCCUAACAUCAGAGGUACCGUUUUGUCAAAUAGAAUGAAGGCGAAUAGCCAAAUAGCAUUUAUGCAGUACCCUAAAUUCGUAUUCCUCGCAGAUGCAUCAACUUAUUUGAUUGAUCUUUGUUAAAGAGCAAUAAAUUCGUUAUGAAUCAGUGGUAGACAUCAAUUAACAAUUUUAUGAAGAUCGUCAUGCACUAGGAUGGUUUAUAAUAAAGUCAACGCUCUGUACAAGAUCAACACACAAAGUACCAGCUACCCAAAAGCUUAAAGCAUUAUUAAGAACUUACCAAGUCGUGCGAUGAAUUCUUUAACUCUAACAAUAUAGUAGCUGAAUCUGCUCUGAUCGGGCAGUUAAACACCUGAUAACAAGAUGCUUAGCAAAGAAAUAAUAGCCAAAUAAAUGAUAAUAUACAAACAAGAUAACGCAAAAGCAAUUAUGCUUACAGCAAAACCAGCAAAAGUAAGACCGUUCUCCACUUCAUCCCUAUCCAUGUUUCGUGCUUCACUGACCUUCAUAUCAAAUAAAGACAAGGUAAACAAUAUUGAAAAAAACAAGAAUUAAUGAAAAGAAAGGUGCAGCAUAAUGUUAGUCCUAACGGAAGGCAAAUGUUACAGACUAUAACGCCUGAUACUCAAUUCUGCUAUUGCUAUUGCGAUGAAGAUAUUGCAAAGUAACUACUCUCGCUAUAUUGCUAUCUCCACCCAAAGAAAUUUGAUUUACAGUGGUGAACCGAAUUGAAUCUCAGAUUUAAUUGGAAAUUACAGAUACAAUUAUAACAGCAUAAAAAGUUACGAGUACAACCAGGCAACUUAGCUACGUCUGAAAAAACUAUAGUUGAGGCUUUGAUCAUAUUAUGACACGUAUGCUCAUAAGAUAUUUGAACUUCAACUUGUAUAUGUGCAUGUAAGACUCACUGUCAUGUCCGGAAGGGACUUGAAAGCGAGGGCCAAAACGCGGGAUCCUUGACGUGUGUAUUUCUUGUAUGUAUCCACAUAGGAUGGUGGCAAGUUAGUAAGCCUAUCUUGAAUAGUCUCCGGUGCACCCUAACAAACCAAACAAUAGAGCUUAUAUAUAAAAGAAGCUAUAGGAGAAGACCUUAUGCAGAUAAAAUUUAAACUAAACAGACCUUUACAAAAGCCAAAAAUGCCUCUUCUACACGAACAACAACUGACAUUCUCUUUAAAUAAGAUGCAAAAUGGUGCCGUUGAACAAUCUGAACAGCAUUCCCACAUCCCCUGUAUUAAUCAAAAACACCAAAAGUAUUGGACUCGGAUCAAAAGAAACUGCAAAAAAGAGCAGGGUUCUAGAUUCAUGAAGCCACUGACAGAUAUUUCAUAAACGAAAUUCGUGAAUAAAAACAAGGUAAUAUUUAUCCAUAAGUUGUAUCUCAAAACCCACCUCUUGGGCACAGCCUUCUCGUCAGAUUUAUAGCUCCAGUCUAUUCCUUUAAGUGCAGCCUUCUCAAGAGGAUCCCCAACCUACAAGUAGAUGAGGAUGGUCAAGAAACUGUGAGAUAACAGUUCCCGUUGAUCAAAUGGAAGAGUAUCUAAUCACUAAAGUUUUGAAAACUCAUAGCCUCCGUAUAAGUAUUCAGAGAGACGCCAAUCUGAAAAGUAGUGUCCCAUACCAGCUUAUUGUCCACAAAAACCAAUGCAUGACAAGCUGCCAAAAUUUCCACUGUACGGGAAGGCACUUUAGUCAUGUCAGAUUCCAAAUCAGUACUAUCAUCCAAACCAACAACCCCGCGGAACUCCUGGAAAGGCAGAAAGAUGGUAAAGAUUACACGCAUGAAUAGGAACUCAGAAAAUUUAGUAGCCUACGGACAGGUCAUAUUCAUACCAUGUCAUCUGAAGUGAGUGUUCCAGUCUUAUCAAAACAACAAAUAUCAACCUGCAGAGACAAAAUAACAAUGAAAUCUACAAUUUGCAGUUGUGUCCGUAAGACUUGUCAAAGACCAAAACUAGCACAACAGAAAAUCUAUGGCCAAGCAUUGAUAUUUUUCAUCUCCGAACAACUCCCUUUCAGUACUUCUAACAUGUCUACCCUUCAUGUUCUCUUUAGGACAGUUUGGUUAGUGAGGACAAUCAGAUCCUCAGGGAUGACAGCUCUACUUCUACUCCAACGUAUAAAAGAUUUGGAUGUCUAUCAUUAAUUGACUUUUUGUACACAAGAAUCCCCUAGAUCUCAAUGUGUUAGUUGGCUCUCUUUGAUUUUCUCAAGUAAUGUGAUGUUCUUGUUAAGUACUCGUCAGUUAUGUCCUUUUCUACUUCUAUUUAUAUCAUCCAAAAAAACAGUGAUGAAAACGCAGGGCAGCAUAAAAUGCUAUCUUCACUAUAUUGAAAAGUAGAAAACGACACAUGCAACGAGUUAUGUAAAUGCCGUAUGUUUCCAGUACAGCACUCUGCAGCCCUUAACCAAAGAGAGUCUUCAAAACAAGAAAUGGUAAUAAUAAGUUAGUCAUGUCAUUCCAUGCAUACUGAAAAGGAGUAGAAAAUCUUAUUUUUUGCAUAAGAAUAAUGUCUUCCUAUUCAUGUAUGAAGAAGAGGAUCUCUAGAUAAGCCAAUUUACCUUCCCAGCAAAUGGAAUGCGGAAAGGCUCCGUGCAAAAUAUUCCACGACGGGCCAAGGCAAUUAGAGAUGUAUUAACUGCUAUUGAUAGUUCCAUUGGCAACUCAGGUGGGAUCACGGAUGUUAUGAUGAAUGAACAACUGAGGAAAAGCUUGUACUUGCUCCUCGUGGGGUCCUCCAAUCCCUAUGAAGAAAACACUAUUUAGAUAAAGCCAAAAAAUGGUGAACACCCUGAAGUGAAACGUCACCAACCUUCUUCAGAACAUAACCUGCUGCGAUGACAGCAAACACUACCAAGAACAGAAUGAAAAGACCACUUUCCCAGCUGUUAGCAGUUACCUUCAACAACAACAGAUAUCAAAAGAGGUUAUGGCAAUCAUAUAAAUGAAUCCAAAAAUAUUAGCCAUGGGUAAGAAGGCUAAAAAACUCAGGUAUGUAAUGACUGAAUUUUACCCUUUCUGUAGAGAACAAAAUAGUCCUCAUCAACUUUCCUUGACUCGUUUCGAACCCAGUUCUUAGAACAACAGCCAGGCAGCCACCAUCAGGGGUUCGCAGGGCGAAAGUCUACAGAGAAAAUAGAAAUGUGAUUGAGAGGAUAAAGCAUACAACGGACAGUAUAAUUUGACAGGUGAUUGUAUUACAACCAACCUUAUCUGGAGUGUGCUGCAAUAUCUUAGUUCCACCAAAUAAGACAUGGGUUUUAUCCCUUCUAGCAGAUAGAUUCUCAUCUUUUACCCUAGCAGCAAUUGAAACCUGAAAAUACAAGUUGUUUCCAAUUUACAGGAAGCAAAAGAAAUCAAUGUAUGUUACUCCAGUGCAAAAAAUAAGCAUACAAGGGAAUAAAAUAUCUUGAAAAUUGAUUGUUUUAAAUAGUACAAGAGUACUUAAUGUCCCUUCAGGUUUUCAUGAAAAAAGAGGAGAAAUUCACUGUUACGCAUCAGUUACAAGAAAAACUUCUGAAGUGAAUUGUUCAUCUAGGAAAAAUAAAUAAACCUAACAUAAAGGCCGAAAAAGGAAAGAAAGAUGACAAAAUUUAGGCAGAAAAUUACGUACACAAAGCUCUACAAAUACAGAAAUAGCUAACUCCAGAACAAGUCAAUUCAAUAUGCACAAAAUUAGGUAUCAAAAAUGAAAAAAAGGACUUGCCAUAGAACCUUCAAGUAUAAGUCCCGAAAGAAACUAUAGCCAACUUACAGACUGGGCAAACCUAAACUAAGUACAAAAUUCCAGAAGUCAAGUCCACGAAGAAUUAAAUAGAGAGACAAUCAGGAGAAUACUAUUAUGAUAAAUAUAAAACAACAGUAUGAGAAGCACCUUCCACUGGGGAGUUGACUCGCCUGUGAGAAUGGCUUCAUUCACAAUGGCGCUCCCAGCUAAGAGAAGCAUGUCUGCAGGCACUGUCUUGUCUUCUCCAUUCUGUCCAACAGAGCGACCAACCGAUACAAUAUCCCCGGGAAGCAGUUCAGUUCCGGAAAGCUUUACCCACCUAAAAUAAUAAUCUCAAUUUCAUAAAUUCUCAAAACUCAAAAAGAAAAACCUAUAUAUACAUUUAUAUAACAACUGUAUAAUAAUCUACAUAUAUGUAUGCAAAUGUAUCAAGAAGCAAUCUAGAUGAGAAUUGUGAAAUGAAUAUCACGUACUUUCCACAGCGGUGCACCAUAAGUGUUUGAUUGUCCACUCUUACACGCCUAAGCUCACUUAGAGUCUUAAGCCUGCUUUUGGCCAUUGUUGAUUCAAACAUAAACAGCAUAAACAGGGUGAAUAUGCUGUAGUACCAAUACUCAUCCAAGCACCAAAGUCCAACACAGAACACCUAAAAAGGAUAAAUGUAACAACGUACAAUAGAAAGUCAGAACUAAUAGGAAAUGACAAGUGAGUAAGUCGAUCAUAAGAAGGGCAGUGAUAAAAAAACAGAGAGUAUUACACACUAUGUACAAGAGGACGACUGGACGAUCAAAGGGAAAGGAGAAUCACAAUUUAAGAACAGGAGUAUGCUUUUUGAGCGAAUAAAAAAAGGGAUGCACAAAAGAUUAUUGUUGUUGGGGUUAAUGUCGUUAAAAAACAAGUGCCAAUUACCAGGGGCGUCAAAAUCAAGCUCUUAAAUUGAACGCUUGAAAUUAAAAUGUUAAACCCAACACUGAAAAUACAUAGCUUAAACUGUCAAAACUAGACAGGCAGGGUAAUGAAUUAAGUUUCAUGAGAGAUCGCAAACCUGAAACACGAAAAAGGGUUCCAUGCAGUGCUCUUUCAUCAGCUUUUGGAACGUCGGCUGUGGAUAUUCGAAUCUACAGAAACAGUAACCAAAACAUUCAAACACCAUAGGUGCAUAGAGAGAUCCAAUGAUGCCACUGAAGUAGCCAAAAAAGACAUGUAGGUUGUUUCUUUUUUAAUUUUCCUGAUGAGUGUUGAAUGGAAACUGUAGGAUGUUAAAAUCACAAUAUUCCAUCAAGGCAUGUAUCAGAAACAAGCCCACAUGCUAUUGACAAAUUCUUUACUGAUCACAGGAAAAAUUUCAUCUUAUUUAGACACGCGUAGCUGCAGAAAGGACGGCAUACAGGAAUAACACAAACUAUGUAAAUAAUGAAUUUCAGUAGGUACCAUAUCAGUUGAUCAUAUACAGAAUAGAAGAUAUCCCAUUAUCCAGCCCUAAACCUUAACGAGACAUGUGUCAUAAGUCAACAGUUCAUGAACAAAGAUAAGAUGCUUAACUACAAUGUAGAACUCUGCCCGCACUAAGAUAGAUGAUAUUAUGAAUCUCAAAAUAGGACGUGGAGAAGAAUACAAAAAUCAAAUAAAUUCCAAAAACACACAUCUAGGCACAAGGAAAGGGAACUCACACAUUUCGUCCCCAUUUUUCACUAGCAGCAAGUACUUUGGCUUCAGAGCCAUGGCCGGUGCAUUUAAGAUAGUAACCAAAUUUUUCUUUCGUCGGAUACGGAAGCUUGCAGAAUGUCUUCUUCUCAUCCGAAUAUAUAAAGCACUGCUUUCUGAAAUCAAAGAAAAUCUCAUCCUGAUCCGCUGCAGAUGAAGACCCUCCUGCCUAUGCAAGUGAAUUUUCAGUGAGAUGAUUAAGAAAGAAACUGGUAACAUACUUCUAAUUCAAAAAAUGAAGCGCAAUGCAAACCCACUUCAAAUCAAGAAUGCAACGGUAUAACUUGAAUAAGCUGUUUCAGUAUUAAGCAACAAAUUAACAAGGAAAAAUCAUAGGUGUAUUGGAGGGCCACCAGAUUACUAAUUAAAACAACUAAUUCAGAAUUAACAACUUGUAGAUAUUUCAUGACGGAACACAAAGAUACCCGUAAAAAGUUACUGUAGUGAUGAAAGUGACAAUAUAGAAAAAAUGGUGUGAAAUGGACACACUAUUCACUCAUUCCGUAGUAAGCAUUAGAAUCCAAUACUCUAAAACCUUACUUGUUUUCGGAUAUAAAGGGGCACAACUUCUUUGGAUCCUGAAAACUUUGCUGGAGUUAUCUUACAUGCAUCUGCUUGAUGAAUAUCAUUAGCCUGCAAGUCAAAUGGAGUGACACAGUGACUGGCUAAUAAAAAAUCAAUGAAAUCUUCAAAGGUUACAUCCUCAAAAGCUAUAGAUUCUCUGGGCUCCCACAAUAUACGAUGCAACCAAAUACAUACCUUACUGAACUGAACGAAGCACCUGAAAUCAACAGACCAGGCUGUGAAGAGCAAGACCAAAAUGUGGAAAGCAACAAGGCCGCCGAAAACAAUGAAGGCAUCACCAAUGUCGAGGCUCGGGAUGACAGUAGUGAGCCAGAGAGCAUAGAUAAUAGCAAACGGCCAUACAUCCAGUCGCCAUGUCCAAUGCUUCUUCCUCAACAAAUCAACUUUAUCCACCACUUUCCCACCAACGUGGAACCGCAACAUCUCAAAUCCCCCAGGAGAGACCACGCUUCCAGAGCACCAAAAUUUCCAGGCUGGUUCCCGAACGACGACAAUACCGAGGGGAAACAAGAACAAAAAAAAGUUACACCGCUUCUCAAACAAAAUCAAACAGUUCGAAGCAGCUAUCUCAUCAAUCUUUUAAAUCAAUCAUCGGGAUCGCGAGGGAAAAACUAAUGCCAAGAGUUGUAACUGCAAGGAAAUCCGACGUGGAGGGAAAACUAGAGAGAUUCCAGUGAGGGAGUAAACUUGCCAGAUUACGCGAUGAUAUGAAACCCUAGGUUUCGACUCGGUGAGCUCCUGAGCGUCUCUGCUUUGGUGAUCUAGUUAGCUCAGUGAGUGAGCUAGCUUGGAGCGUGGCCCAGAUUCGUCGUGAUUCCUUCGAAGAUUUUUGCUAUACGCCUCUCGCACAAUCCCGUAUGAUGAGUGAGCAAGAAAGGAGGAGAUUUGUAGAACAAAUUACAAUACUCGCUUGAUGGCAAAAUUACGGUUUACUCAUUCAGAAAACCAAAAACUGCAUUUGUCGUUGCAAACUUAUUUUUAUGUAAAGAUAAACAACUCUUUACUAUUUGGGCUAGAGGGUGGGAAUUGGGGCGUUUUCUUGAUCUUCGUUAUUAUUUGUAAUUUUCUUUUUAAUUUUAGCGUAUCUAAUAUAAUGUUUUGAUAAAAAAAAGGUUAGGGUGGGAAUCGGGUAGGGUUUAGCCCGGUCAGACUCGGUCAAAACCUUGUACUAACUAUAGUCGGGUUGGGUCGGAAAUUUGGAUUUCCAAGCGAUUUCGAUAAAGUUCGAAUAAGCCCAAACCCGAUGAAAGUCUGGUUUGACUCGUACUAAUUCUACUUCAAUUAUUCAUAUUACUCAUUAAAUAUGGAAACCCGAGACUAAAUAAAAUCAGGUUAGGUUUGGAUGUGUAAAGAACGUUUAAUUUGGUUAGGUUUAAUUUGGCUAUUAAGUUUUCGCUAAUUGUAAUCAUCAUCCCGAUAAUAUGUCAAAAAUAACAUAUAUCAUCCUUUAAAAUGUUUUCGAGAAACAUUUUUCUACUGCUUUAUAUAGUGUCUUCAAACUGGAUUAUUGUGAUAUUCGUUGAUUCAAAAGGGACAAAUGUACAAUAACAAAAAUCAUCUUCCAUUCUAUAGGCUCGCCAACACCCUCUAAAUUUCUUUCGAACGUAAGCUUUUUCGAUAUUUCAAUUUUAAAUAAUAUAAAUGAUUGUUAGUAUUUCAUGUUUUAAGCACUCCAAUUUAAAUGGAAUCAAAAGGGUGAAGAAGUUGUAGGUUUGAGAUAUUAAAACCCGAUUGUCCUACUAAUUUCAAUAUCAAUAGUUUUGAGACUACAUAACAUCAAAAUUUCGUUCAUACUAAAUCUCAGAGAACUCUAUUGAAGGUAUACAAGUUGUUUGAGUAUUUGUGAGUAAUUGCAUAGACCUAGGAAACAGAAAUUUGGAUGAUUCAGUACAUUUCUCCAUUGGUGAUGGUGUGAUAGUACGCACAACAAUGUUAACACAGGACAUAUCAAAGUUCAAGCAGCAGCAGCAAGUAGCCACUAAUCAACAAACUCGGUUCAUCCACGAUAACAAAACACGAAACAAUAGGUUCGAGUACAAAUGGAGUUCCUCGAGAUUGGGACAACGAAAUUCCACCUUCGUCUCCCGUAGGUAGAAUCGAGACAAGGUUAAGGAUUUCAAAGAUUCGAGCUUGGAAAUCACACUGGAAAGAUGGCCAAAUCUCAAUCUGGAUUGAGAACCAGCACUGAUUUCCAAAACUUUCGGCUGAGGGGCUAUUAAUAAUUCAAUUCUGUCGACCUGAAGAUUCUGUUCAGUAUGCAGAGUCUGGAGAGAAGAAGCUGCAAUCUCAAUUUCGUGAACAUCACAGUCAGGUUGCUAACAUUAGAUACUCGGAGCUUAAACAUUCUCUUAAUAGAUUGGACUUCUAGGGUUUCCAGGAGUGGAGAGCCAACUAUCAAACUUGUGAAAAUCUGCUCAUUCAUAAACUCGACACGUUUCAAUUGCAGGGAUCGUAGACAAUUCAUGGGGAGAGGGAGAUGAUCAAUCCGGCUAUGGUGCCCUUUGAGGCACGGUCGCGUUCCAUACCACUCCAUCUUUAUAUUAUUCAUUAACACCUACUGUUCAGGGCGAUAGUGAUUCCUUCCAAGUAAAGAACUUAUGCGCUGGAAUUGGAGAGUAAUUCGAAAGGCAAGAAGAGAUUACCCCUGACGUUGUUGAUGGCAACAUAUUCUGCUUUUCUAUCCGAUGCUAAAUCCAGUAGCUGCUCCACGGCUGGGUAACGGAUGGUAUACUCAUCUGUUUCAAACGAGAUCUUCAGAUUUUCCAUCCGCAACUGUUUGUCUCCAGAAUAGCUCUUCAUCGUUGCAUCGCUGAAUAUCUGGAAACCGUUCAUCGUCUUGGAAUCGAACUCCACUGUUGGGUACGAGCGCCAGAGGUUUUCCCAUCGCCUGGAAUAGUAUACAGGUCUGCGCUGCUUCUUUGGGGCAUCGUUGGCGGAAGAUAGAGUGGAGGAUUUCUUCUGGUAAAUCUGGGAUCAAAUCUUCGCCGGCGGCGGUCGAUUUCUUAGCUUGCCACUGCCGAGAAGCAGCGCCACGCUCGAAUUCGAACUUGAGUUCGUCGACCAUACCACGUCUCCAGACUCGUUGCGAAGAGCCAAGUUUCCAUCCCGGUCGUGCUUCAGCUCUGACCGAGAUGGAUCAGAAACAACAGGCUGGCCUCGGUUCACAACCCAAACCACGGUCUGAUUUGGCAGCCUGAAUUUUUUUUUGUAAAUGUGCAAGUUGGAAGAUUUAUAUUUCCUGCAACCACUCGCACUAAAAAACAAGAAUCAAAGAGCCGAGAAGGCUACAAUUGAGCAAAGUUGUCGUUGACUAAUAGAAUACAAUUAUGACGUCACAGAGAACACAUAAUUUCUCCUACGUCAGGGGAAGAACUACAUGGAUAUUUGUGUUAAAAAAAGUAUUGUAAGAACUAUAUUUGUGUUAAAUCAUAUGCAAGAACUAUAUUUGUGUUAAAUCUGUGAAUGGAAAAUAUAACAAAAUUCAUAAAAGAAUAAUAGAAAAGCUUAAAAUAAGAGUUUUCGUAAAUUCAAAAUAAAGUAUCAGUAAAUUCAAAAUAAAGCUCUUAUAAGCGAAUCAAACACUAUUCAUUCAAUGAUAAUUCAUGUUCUUAUUUUAUAAAUAGAAUAUUUCGAAAAUUCCCGUUAACAAUAUCAAAAUAAAAUAUGCAAUUCGGUUCGGGAAAAUGAAUUUCGGAUUCGGGAUUAUUUAUGGGAUAAGAUUUAACCAUAUUCACCUUAAUGCGAGCCAGUGAUGAACCGGGUUGGACUGAUAACUGGACCGUAGACAUUUUAUAUUGUGAUUAUUAAAUUUCAACAGAAAAAUAGACGGGCUAGAACAUUUUUACAAUACGAUGAUAAUGGAAGGAAAUAACAGUUUGAAAUAGAAGAGAAUUAGCUGUCUUUUUUCAUCUGAACAAAAUUAAGAUCCAAUCUCUCUUCCUCUUGUCAAUUCUUUCUGCAUCCUCCGCAACACAACAAAUCUUCUCUCCCUUUUCUCCUUCCCACAUUCCGAUCGGCCGUCGACAAAGUAGCUAAUUUGCCAUUCACCAUUUCCCCUGCCGCCAAUUCCUGGCCGGCGGUGUCGGAGUUUUCAGAGGUUAGCGGUUUUGUUGCCACAAUUUUCUUCUUCCCUCCUGUAAACAUUUGAUCUGGAAAUGGGAAAAAAGGACUGGAUUCUACAUUGUGUUUUUCAAUCAGUAUGAUAAUGAUUAUAACAGUUUUCCUCGUUGUAUUGACGGUCCUUUUGAUUUUGUGCUAGAAUGGAACCAGGAGCAAAAUGUUCUUUGUAGGUUUAGGCCCUUUUAACGUUGUUAAAGAUGUCGUCUUUCUCCUGUUUCUAAGGUCCCACUGGGGAACCAUUUCGUUGGAAGCUUCCUGUUUCAAUGGCGUCAUCUUCAUUAAGUUAUUGUUACCUUUUCCAUAUCCCCUCUUAUUUCUAAUUGAUUUUUCGUUUGUUACGCAAAGUUUUAAGCUUUGACUUUGCCACAACAUUGGACCUUGUCGUAACAGGAUUGCCAGCCUACCAUUUUUGUCACAUUGUUCUGCAUUUUACCAUCUAAAGCGUUCCUUUUGCGAGAUUUCGAAAUAUCAAAAGAGAUCAACAAACUAUGUUAAUAGAAGUCAGGGACAUGUUUUGGUGUAAUGAUGCAGACACACAUCAUGUUCCAUAUUUGGUUUACGUUUGCACAAUUAGUUGGUCUGCCGAUUUUUGGAUUCACAGCGUGAUCACACCAUGGUUUUACUCUACUUUUGCAGCACGAACAGGCGUUGGAUUCUGAUACUUUGGUAUGAGCAUUAACCUGAUGAAGGGUGGAUAUAUUUAUGAAGAAAGUUAAAGAAGAGAGCAGAGAUGAUAGGGAGCAGCCAAUCUGCAGAGUCCAGUGGGAGUGAGGACCAAAUAAAGGUCCGCGAAUUUUGUGCAAAUGGAGCUUGCGUGAAAGCAGACGAGAUCGAAGCAAAGCUCGAUGAAGGAAACAUACAAGCGGCCGAAUCUUCUCUACGGGAGGGGUUAUCUCUCAGUCUCGAGGUUUGUUCUUCAGAAACUCUGUGGUGUUGCUUGGUGUGUGCAUUAAUGGGAAUAAGUUAUGAUUUUAAUGAUAGUAUAAUCAUUUUUGUCAUUCUGUAGGAAGCUAGAUCACUCCUAGGGAGAUUGGAGUAUCAGAGAGGGAAUGUAGAAGGUGCCCUACGUGUUUUCGAUGGCAUUGAUCUCCAAGCUGCAUCGGAGAGAUUGCAGUCGUCCAUAGCAGGCAAGAAUGCUCACAAAAACCAAUCCCCUGGGGGUGGCUCACAGCAUUCGGCCAGUUUGGUGCUCGAAGCAAUAUACUUGAAAGCCAAGUCUCUACAAAAGCUUGGGCGAUCUUACGGUAUUGAAAACGACUGUCAAAAAUGGAAAGAUCAAUUUUUUCCAUUUAGUCAUUAAUUUAAGACAGUUUGUUCAUGUGCCUUUUUUUCUAAUCUCAGAUGCUGCAAAAGAGUGUAAAAGUGUGCUUGAUGCAGUGGAGAAGAUAUUCCAGCAGGGAAUAUCUGACGUACAAGUAGACACUAGAUUACAAGAAACGGUUAGUCAAGCAGUAGAGCUACUUCCAGAGCUUUGGAAGCAGGCCGGUUAUUACCCCGAAGCGAUAUCCGCUUACAGAAGAGCUCUCCUAAGUCAGUGGAGUCUCGAAAACGACUGCUGUGCGAGGAUCCAGAAAGCAUUUGCGGUGUUUUUGUUACACAGCGGAGUGGAGGCCGCCCCUCCGAGCUUAGCAUCUCAGGUCGAAGGCUCCUACGUACCGAAACAUAAUCUCGAAGAAGCUGUUUUGCUUUUGCUGAUUCUUGUUAGGAAGUGUUGCCUUGGUAAGACAAAAUGGGACCCGUCGGUUAUGGAACAUCUGUACUUUGCAUUAUCCAUGUGUAGCCAAACUGGCGUUCUCGGGAAGGAGCUUGAAGAGACAAUGCCGGGUGUUCUCCACCGCACUGAUCGUUGGAAUACUUUAGCUUUUUGUUACAGUGGAGCAGGACAACACAAAGCUGCUCUAAACUUGCUACGCAAGUCUCUCCAUAGACACGAAAGACCGGAUGAUCUAAAGGCACUCUUGCUGGCUGCGAAAAUUUGCACCGAGGAUUCGUAUCUUGCUGCGGAGGGAGUUGAGUAUGCAAAGAGAGCGCUUACAAAAGCACAGGAAAGUGAUGAGCAUCUGAAAAGUGUGGCUGUCCAUAUGUUAGGUCUUUGUUUGGCGAAACAGGCGAAACUUUGUUCCUCCGAUUUCGAGAGGACACGGUUGCAGUCCGAAGCGCUCAAAUCUCUGGAAGCUGCGCUUGCUUUGGAUCCAAGCAAUCUGGAUAUAGUCUUUGGCUUGAGUGUUCAAUAUGCCGAGCAACGGAAUUUGAGCGUUGCUCUACGUUACGCCAAGCAAUAUAUCGAUGCAACUGGCGGCUCGAUGUUGAAAGGUUGGAGGUUGCUUGUCUUGAUCUUAUCUGCUCAGCAGAGAUUCUCGGAGGCUUCGGUGAUUACUGAUGCUGCUUUGGACGAGACUGCGAAAUGGGAACAAGGACCGUUGCUCAGAUUGAAAGCGAAACUCAAGGUCGUGCAGUCCUUACCUGCGGAAGCUAUCGAAACUUACCGGUAUCUGCUUGCGUUGAUCCAAGCUCAGAAGAAAGCUUUCGGCGCCAUCAUAAGCGUGUCGCAGGUACGGAAACUUUCAACAUCUAAAGCUCUUUAAUAUUUAUGUAAGAAAACUAUUAAGGCUUGGUUUGGCAAGUGGGAAGUCGGAUGGAAUCUUGUGCAUUUUCCAGCUUGGAUGGGAAUGUUAGAUCCCAACAAAAUGUUUUUGAGGAGCAAACUUUGUUGUUGCCAUCUAAAUUCCAUCCGACUUCCCACCUCCCAACUAAGGCUUGGUUUGGCAAUAAAGUUGAAUGGAAUUCAGUUGCCAGAUGAAAAUUUCGCUCUCAAAACCAAUUCGUUGGGAUCUCUGACUUUACGGUCCGACCAAAAAAUGCUCAAAAUUCCAUCCAACUUUCCACCUGCCUAAUGAAGCCUAUGCUCAAAAUGGUUUCUGAACGGACCAAACUUUUGUUGGCAUGGCAGUCUGAGGAUGAUAAGGUGAAUGAAUAUGAAGUUUGGCAUGGUCUAGCUGAUUUGUAUUCCAGUCUCUCUCAGUGGAAGGAUGCAGAAGUGUGCCUAGACAAAGCAAGAGAACUGAAAAAGUACUCGCCGGAGUUACUUCACUCUCAAGGCAAGAACUCCAAACUCCAAAAUUGAGUGUAUCUUAUUAGUUACUCUUUCUCUUGCUUUCCCUUACAAAGAGCUCUUCAUUCACAUUGUUUCCUUCAUCCAGGUGCGAUGCACGCAGCCCGCGGAGAGUUCCAAGAUGCUUUUUGUUCUUACAUUUGUGGUCAUAUGAUGGAGCCGAAUCAUGUCCCUGGCAUCAUACUGGUUGCCUCCUUAAUAUCCAAGAACAGGUCAGAGGCAGCAUUACCUGUAGCAAGAAGCAUACUCUCCGACGCGUUGAAGCUAGAACCGGCCAAUCGUAAGGCUUGGUAUCAUUUAGGGACUGUUCAUAGGGACGACGGACGCACGGCUGAUGCUGCUGACUGCUUCCAAGCUGCCUCCAUGCUCGAGGAAUCCGACCCAAUCGAGAGUUUCAGUUCUGUCUACUGAUUACCGAUGCUGGAGAUUUCACGAUACCUAUAGUCGUCCCAGUACGCCAGCCUUCUGCGAUUUCUUCUCGGCCGGACAUAUCCAUUGCCGAAGACCUCCUGCCAUCCACACAUUGUGGAGAUUCCAGUGUUGAGAAGGUACAAAAGUUUGUCAAGUGAUAGGGAGAGGAAAAGGAAAGGGGACAAGUUGUAGGGACCAUUGAUAUGAUAUGAAAUGUGUGGUUAGUUGCUGUUGAAAGAGAGUUUGAUGCAGGUGGUGGUGGGUGCUAAAACAACUUGGUCUGCUUGCCUUUGUAAAUUUGUCUGCUGUCUUUUUCAGCCUUGAAAAAAAUGUGUGAAUGAAGAGGAAAAAGAUAAUUGAAUUCAGACAACAAAUGUACAUUUGUUCCCUCUCUUUUUUCUCGAUUUAUUGCACCAUUUUCUUAUGUUUUGUGUAGAAAAAUUGAUUUGAUGCCCAAGCUGCAUCACAGCAAGCAUAUAGGGUAAGGAGUCGUUUCGAUUUCACAAAUAUAUUUCGAUUUGUAAGUUUGUCCGGUCAUAGUGGAAUUUGAGGGUGCUGCUGACUAGCCAAACUGUUUGUGAUCACUAUAUCAAAGCUAACCAGGUAAAAUCCCAAAGCAUAGAAACGCCAUUAGGGAAAUGAGACUGAACCAAACACAACAUAAGGUCAAAGUGCUUUCUCAAUCAAAUUGAGUACCAAUCUCACUAGCUUUUCAGUUAGUUCAUUCGAAUGUAAUAGCUGUGUCAUAUGACACAUUAGAAUACGGUUGUUCACAUAUAACCAACGGAACUCGUCUGAUAUCUCCAUUCUGGAAAAAGAUCACACUGACUUUCUCCAGAUAUAAUAGGUUAAGCGGGUUCGAUCUUCACAGACGCGAGAUGAGGAGCGGGAUGGAUAUCUCCUCGGCUAUUUCCGGCUGGAUAAACAAGUCCAUCUCACCAUACCGCUCUAGUACCCGCAUCCUGCAAUCUUCAGCAGCCAUCAUUCCUGUGGAGAAUGCACCGUGUACUGAACCAGGGAAGCUCACGCUUGUUGCCUCUCCGGCAAAGAAUAGGUUAUCGACCGGGACUCUUAGCCUUUCGUACAGAUCGUGGGGUUUUCCCACGAUAUCAUAGCUGUAGGACCCGAGGGAGUUUAUGUCUGAUCCCCAACGAGACACAAGAUGUUGAAUCUGCGAAGUUGGAAGAAAAAACGAAAACCAUUUUAGUCAAGCAAGAAACAGAGUUUUAUCAACGGUUGAAGAAUUUUCUGGUCAUGUACCGGAGGGGAUGCAUCGGGAAGGAUCCUCUUGAGUUGCAAGACGGCGAAAUUAGCCGCUUCUUCAUCGGACAUCUUCUCGAUGUCUCUUGCAAGCUGCCCAGCUGGCAUGUACACUAGAACAGGGUGGCCAGUAGCCUUGUGGAGAUUUAGGAAGUAGCUGCAGCUAUACGAGGUGUCUGCGACAACUCCUAGGAACUCUACAUUCGGCCAGAACACAUUGUCGAAGUGUAACACGAUCUUGUUCUCGAUCCCGACUCCGAGGUCGUCAAUGGCGUUCUCCUUCCAAUCUGGUAACUUUGGUUCAAAGGUAAUCGUCUUAGAUUUCAGCACUCCAAGAGGCACGGCAAUGACUGUUGCAUCAGCUACAAACGUCCUCCCAUUUUCUGUCGUCACUUUCACGCCAUUAUGACUUCUAACAAUAUUUUUUACCCUGCAAAGGAACAGUUAGAAUGAUAUAACACAGAGGAGCGAGAAAAUGAAUAUAAUGCAGGCACUAAUCAUUAUGUUAUGUAAAUACCUAUGCCCCAGACGAAUAUCAAGUCCCUUGGCAAGAGUGUUAAUUACUGGAAUGUAACCCCUAACCAUGAGUCCGUGGCCACCUGGGAGCAAUUCUUCCUGCAAGGAGACCAUUUGUUGCACAUAUGAAUCAUACUUUUAUGAUUUUAAUGAUGAAAAACCGACAGCCGAGUUUAAUGAUGAAAAGCCUUACUUGAUCCCAGCACUGAAGUGAGAUGGUUUCAGCAUCUGCGGCAAACCAACCUUCCAUCCUGCAAAGGUACCACUGAAGGACCUUAUAGGCAACACCAUCCAACCUGCAUUAUAAUCAAUUAAUUAAACAGCAACUUAAAGCUCUGUAUAGUGUCUCUACCCAGCCAUAAAAGAGAAAAGAUUCCAGUCAUGAAUAUGAUUCCAAUGUACCGAUAUGCUUCAAUAUAUCUAACCUUAAAUCUGGCCUUCUUUCUGAUACAAUAGAAAAGGCUUCUUUUAUGUUCAUGUCCUCCUUAUGCUCUUCUCUUACUUUAUCCGCCUGCAUCAGAAAGAGACAUAACCAAUCAGGAGAAGCUCAAGCAGAAUUCAUCCCACAUUAGGAAUUGCAGUAAUAUCAAGAGUUAACCUGUACAUCAAAGGUUUAAGCAAAUACAGUCAGGCACCAUUGGUUGAACUGACAGUUAAACAUCAAAAAUUAAGAGCGAAAGCUCAUACCUCCUUUAAGAUUUCAUCAAAAAUUUCACCGACCCUGGUGACCAACUCCUGAGGAACUUGAUUACCCUCCAUGUCAAAGAGUGCGUAACUGCAUGUACGUGCACACACACAGACAGAAAAAGAAAAACACCCAUAUGAUAUCGCUCUCUUUAAAACAAGACAAUAGCAACGAUCAAUCAACUAAACCAUUAACUAUUAACAUAAACAGAAAAGCAAUAGAAACAUGAAAGAGGAAAAAAAUAAAGACUGUCUAACCUCUCCAAGUCAUGGUCAUACAACACAGAAUUUUCACCACUAGUUCGGUACAACGGCAAACCCAGUCUCCCAAUCAGCGGUGCCAAGGGAUUCUGAUCGCAGACCCCAUGCAACCUGAAGAAUGAAUAAUCAUUAGAUUAAAACUCUUAGCCCCUUGCAAACUUGGAGUAUCAGAAACAAAUUGCUCUUACCAUGAUGCACCCAGGUCAAUGGGGAAACCAAAUGUGAAGUCGGUAUGAACUCGCCCACCGAUCCUAUCCCGUGAUUCAAGCAAAACAACCUGAGCAAAACAAACCAGCAAAGAAAAAUGCAACACCUUAGGAACUAUACCAAGUUCAAGCUAGCUAUCUAGCUCAUGAAUCGAUAGUUCGCAAGUGGGCAAUCCACUUUGUUGAAUUACAGAAAUAACUAGGAUAUUAUUAGGCGUAUAACUUGGAGUAAUCUAGCUAUCCUAUAGAAUUAGUCUAGCCUGAUUUAGGCAGUGUAUUCAUAGUAAGUGGUAGGUAGAAUAAAAUCCCUGAUUUGUAGGGAUUACUACGAGCUGGAUCUGCAUCCUAAUGAUGCAGAAUGUGUAUAUAUGUAAAGGAAACCACAGAAAUAAGAAUUAAUCAUACCAGAAUCACUCAGAUUUCUGGAUUUCUGCAUGGUAUCAGAGCUUAGAUUCAGACCUUGAAUCCAGCUCCAUCAACCUUCCUUCUUCUAUCUCUCUCACUCUCAUCUGAUGGCGAACACGAACGAUGAAGUUCAAGUCCCAUCCUCGCCAUCUGUGACUUCAGGAGAUCCCUCCCAGAAGCACUCAAACCCAGCAGCCACAUCAGACACAGUCCUGGGCUGUAUCACAAAUCAUCGCCUCAACGGAGAUAACUAUCUCCAAUGGUCCUCGUCAGUACUGAAGUUUAUCUCAGGCAAGGAGAAAAGAGGCUACCUAACUGGAAAGACCAAGCAGCCAGCAGAGGAUGACCCAGAAUUUAUCAACUGGGAUAUUGAGGACAAUAUGGUCCAGUCGUGGCUUCUGAAUUCAAUGACCACGUCCAUUGGUGAGAAAUUCCUUCUUCACCAAACUGCCCAUGAGAUCUGGGAUGGAGCUAGGCAUACAUACUCCAAUCAGGCAAACAAGGCUGAAGCCUUUGAAGUGGAGAUGCGACUCCAUGAUCUCAAACAAGGGGAAAAGUCAGUUACUCAGUACUAUGACGAACUGAGCAAAUGCUGGCUGCAGCAGGAUCUGUACGACGUUCACCUAUGGAAGUGUACAGAAGAUGCAGAAUUGUAUCGACAAAUCCUCCAGACCAAACGGACCAUCCGUUUCCUCCUGGGACUGAAUCAGGCCCUCGAUGAGGCCAAGGGAAGGAUCAUGGGCCGUCUUCCUCUUCCAUCAGUCAGGGAGGCGUUCGCUGAAAUCAAAUGGGAAGAGAGCAGGAGGAAGCUCAUGAUCCCUGAGUCUAAGAGCAUUCCAGUGGAGGGUUCUGCCCUGGCCACUCACUACACUGGAAAUCAAGGGACUGCUUACACCAAGUCUGGAAAGGUGCGUCCACAGUGUACUCACUGUAACAAGAUAGGACACACUAAGGACACCUGCUGGAAACUACAUGGGAAGCCUGCUGACUGGAAACCUAAGGCAGAGAGGGAGGCUCAUGCACAGGCUGCUGCCGCUGAGCAAACUCAACAGAUUGGUCAGAUGACCAGAGAACAACUGGAGAUCCUCCAGCAGAUGAUGGCUCAAUUCACGGCUAAGAAGGCAUCUGCAGGCCCCUCUGAAACUCACCACAGCCUGUUUGCUAGGCAAGGUAUAAAUUCUACUGCUUUACUCGCCCUAAAUCAGUUCAAACAACACUGGAUAUUAGAUUCUGGAGCUACUGAACACAUGACUGGUUCUAGACAGCUACUCCACAAUAUCCAGGCUCAUGUAGGGAAAGCAGGAGUUCGUAUCGCGGAUGGAACCAUAGCUCCAGUCGAAGGAAUUGGGACAGCCUACCUGACCCCUAAUCAGGCUGUGUUCCCUGUUCUAUACGUUCCAAAGCUAAAUUGCAAUCUGAUUUCUGUUAGUCAGAUUACACAGGAUCUUAAAUGUCGACUAACCUGUGACCCAUCACAAUGUGUAUUGCAGGAGGUGGGAUCUCAGAGGAUGAUUGGCAGGUUUGAGCUGUGUGAUGGACUGUACUGUCUAAAGACAAUAAGCGGACUAAGACCAGGGGGAGAGGGUUCCAAGUCAGCAUACUUAAGUUCUAGGUCAAGCCAGUUAGAAUGCCCCGUCAUGAUGUGGCAUUACCGGUUAGGCCACUCUAGUUUCUCUUAUCUCAAAAAACUGUUUCCUAAACUUUUUAUCAAUAAAAAUCCGAGUUCAUUCUAUUGUGAGGUUUGUCAACUUGCAAAACAAACAAAGAUCGUCUAUCAUAGUCUGCCAUAUAAGCCAACACAUCCUUUUUCCAUUAUUCACAGUGACAUUUGGGGUCCAUGUUCUGUAAAAACAAGUAAUGGUUUUCGAUGGUUCAUCACCUUCAUCGAUGAUCAUACUCGCUUAACAUGGACAUACCUAAUGAAAUCAAAGACUGAAACCCAACAAAUUUUCCAAAACUUCCAAAAUCAAGUCAAAACUCAGUUUCAAACACCUAUUCGAGUUCUUCACACUGAUAAUGCAAAAGAUUAUUUCAAUCACUCCUUAAGCUCGUUCCUGACAGCCAACGGCAUUGCUCACAGCAGCUCUUGCCCUUACACUCCCCAGCAAAACGGUAUUGCUGAACGCAAAAACCGUCAUUUGCUGGAAGUGGCAAGAGCAUCGCUGUUUGCUGCUAAGGCGCCAAAGAGCUUGUGGGGUGAUGCUGUCCUCACAGCAACCUAUCUUAUCAAUCGUCUUCCAAAUCGAACCCUACGAUUUAAAACUCCUCGUAGUGUUCUACUCAAAAACUUUCCCCAUAGUCAUGCUCUAUCAACCAAUCUUCCUCUUAGGGUAUUUGGAUGUACAGCCUUUGUCCAUUUAGAUUCCUCCCUACGUACUAAACUCGAUCCUAGAGCAGUCAAAUGUGUUUUUCUGGGAUAUUCCCCUCAUCACAGUGGUUACAAGUGUUACUCUCCAAGUGACCACAAAGUCUAUCAUUCGAAAAAUGUCACGUUUUUUGAACACCAUCCUUUCUACUCCCACUGUCAGCCUCAGGGGGAGAAUUCUACUGUUGAGUCCUCCAUUGGUAGCAUUAUCACCUUGGAAUCAUCCCCUGUCAUUCUAGAGUCUCCUAAAGUAGCCAAAAAUCCCUCCACAGAACAUAACAGUCAAAUCCCUCCGCUUCUGGUCUAUCAGCGUAGGAAGAAGACUGCAGGAAACACACAUGCUCAGCCUGACCAGGAAUUCAAUGAGAUCUCAGCCUCCCAAGAAGGUGAAUCAGCACAAAUGGAUCAGGGGGUUGAAUCUAGUGAUGGGGUUGAGAACGGUGGUCAAACGGAGGAAACAGAUGAAACUCAGACUGCUGACAUAGAGGAAACACAGGUAGAUGAUACAGUCUACCUUCCAAUUGCUCACAGAAAAGGAACUAGAUCGUGCACAACUCAUCCUAUUGAAAGAUGGGUUUCAUAUGGAAAUCUAAGCCAGAAGUACAAGGCGUUUGUGGGAACUCUUGACAACACAGAAAUCCCUCACUCCAUCGAAGAAGCUAUGAAAAUACCUCACUGGAGGGCAGCAGUGUUGGAAGAGAUAAGAGCAUUGCUCAAGAAUCAGACGUGGGAUACAGUACAGCUACCAGCUGGAAAAUCCAGAAUAAAUCCCUGAUUUGUAGGGAUUACUACGAGCUGGAUCUGCAUCCUAAUGAUGCAGAAUGUGUAUAUAUGUAAAGGAAACCACAGAAAUAAGAAUUAAUCAUACCAGAAUCACUCAGAUUUCUGGAUUUCUGCACACUUUACCCGAAAGCCUGCAUCAUGGAGAGCACGACCAGCAGCAAGCCCAGCAACACCACCGCCGAUCACGAUAGCUGACGGGGAAUGUCCUUGUCGCUUCCCGCCAUUAGACUGACAAUUAGCUACAGGAUAAGAAGGUAAAACUUAAUCAAAGAGCAGUCAUUUGAAUAUCAGAAACAAUUACUCCUAAACCAAAAGCUUUUCUGAAAAAUCAUAUUUUUAAACCCCCAAAUAUUUUAUACGUUCGUCAGCAGUCCACGUAAUGUUUCCACCACCGACACAAAAGCACACAUAUGCACAAGAUCUAAAUUAAAAAAAUUCGCAUCAAUUCCUAACCAGGAAAGACACGUAAGGACAGCGGCGACCUAAUGAUGAACAAUCAUCACAAAAAGAGCCAAAAAAGCGCACAAACCUGUGUUCAAUUGAUUGCGAUUACUCCUGAAUCCAGACGCCAUUCUUUUCCUCAGGUGAUGAGCAAUUCAAACACAGGUUACUAUCACUAACAAGACUACUGACAAAAUCACACAGUAACGGCUGUAUAGAUUUGUUCUCGAAUUUAAAGAGUGAAGCAAGCAACUGAGGAGAAAAAUGGAGAAUAAAAAUCAAGAGGCACGUCGUAAAAUGGCCUGAAGAAUUUGAAGAAUAGGACAAUAAUAUAUUACAACCCAGCUUUCCUGACCAGCUCAUGCAGAAGUCUUUUCUUUCCGAUCUUACCCCUCGCUUUCCCCCAAAAUUCUCCAAACCAAGAAACCGAAAUCCGGCUAGACAAAACAGAUUGCCGGGAAACAGAUCGGAGACAGUCUGCGCGAUGGGGAUCUUGAAACGGAAUAUAAUUUUCUAGAGACUCUCGAUCAGCGGAGGGGAAAAGUGCGGUGGCCGGUUGGUUAGCGAUNNNNNNNNNNNNNNNNNNNNNNNNNNNNNNNNNNNNNNNNNNNNNNNNNNNNNNNNNNNNNNNNNNNNNNNNNNNNNNNNNNNNNNNNNNNNNNNNNNNNNNNNNNNNNNNNNNNNNNNNNNNNNNNNNNNNNNNNNNNNNNNNNNNNNNNNNNNNNNNNNNNNNNNNNNNNNNNNNNNNNNNNNNNNNNNNNNNNNNNNNNNNNNNNNNNNNNNNNNNNNNNNNNNNNNNNNNNNNNNNNNNNNNNNNNNNNNNNNNNNNNNNNNNNNNNNNNNNNNNNNNNNNNNNNNNNNNNNNNNNNNNNNNNNNNNNNNNNNNNNNNNNNNNNNNNNNNNNNNNNNNNNNNNNNNNNNNNNNNNNNNNNNNNNNNNNNNNNNNNNNNNNNNNNNNNNNNNNNNNNNNNNNNNNNNNNNNNNNNNNNNNNNNNNNNNNNNNNNNNNNNNNNNNNNNNNNNNNNNNNNNNNNNNNNNNNNNNNNNNNNNNNNNNNNNNNNNNNNNNNNNNNNNNNNNNNNNNNNNNNNNNNNNNNNNNNNNNNNNNNNNNNNNNNNNNNNNNNNNNNNNNNNNNNNNNNNNNNNNNNNNNNNNNNNNNNNNNNNNNNNNNNNNNNNNNNNNNNNNNNNNNNNNNNNNNNNNNNNNNNNNNNNNNNNNNNNNNNNNNNNNNNNNNNNNNNNNNNNNNNNNNNNNNNNNNNNNNNNNNNNNAGUUUACUAUCACAAACAAGACUACUGACAAAAUCCCACAGUAACGGCUGUAUAGAUUUGUUCUCGAAUUUAAAGAGUGAAGCAAGCAACUGAGGAGAAAAAUGGAGAAUAAAAAUCAAGAGGCACGUCGUAAAAUGGCCUGAAGAAUUUGAAGAAUAGGACAAUAAUAUAUUACAACCCAGCUUUCCUGACCAGCUCAUGCAGAAGUCUUUUCUUUCCGAUCUUACCCCUCGCUUUCCCCCAAAAUUCUCCAAACCAAGAAACCGAAAUCCGGCUAGACAAAACAGAUUGCCGGGAAACAGAUCGGAGACAGUCUGCGCGAUGGAGAUCUUGAAACGGAAUCCGUCUGAUAAUCGAAAUUUCUGGAGACUCUCGAUCGGCGGAGGAGAAAAGUGCGGUGGCCGGUUGGUUAGCGAUAGUGAAAAAAGGUAAUAUAAUAUCUCUUUUGGUGUGAUUGAUCCAGCUGAGCUCCGGCGGGCCACUGGAUUUAUAGAGGUGAUUGGACGGGAAACGCAUAUGAUUGGAUCUUCCGACGCGUGGACGGUCGUGAUUUUUAGAGUUGGGUGUUAUUUUUCAGUUUUAUUAAAUAUAUUUGGUAAUUGUUUAGUAGUAUUUUGGUUUACUAUUAUUUUGUGUGGAGUAGAUUUGUAUUAGAUAGUUAAUUUAGGAUUUAUCGGUUAAUUAUGAGUUAAACUUUUUUUAUGAAGAAAGAACAUUGAUUAAUUUUAUUAAUGCUGAUGUCGUGAUUACAAAGAGUUUAAAACAUUAAUAAGUUCGGUUGGGAUGUGUAAAAGCCCACAACGAGGUUACAUGGAGUUUCGAUUGUUACCAGAAGGAUAACAUGAUCCACUUUUUUAUUUUCCUGUUAAAUUUAUAUCAAACCCGUUAAUCUUGACACUUGACAAAACCCAAAAUCAAACAAGAACAAUUAGAAUUCACCCAGAAAGACAAAGUAACCAAAAUCAAAAACAAAAUCCGAACAAGUCGAGUCUAAUAGAGGGAAAGAAAUAAAGUGUUGGGGAAAAAGGUGGUCAUCGGCCGUUGUCGACGUUAUGUCGAUGAAUAGACCGCGCGAAAGCUGACCUACAUGUACCUCGGUUGUGACACCAGAGCUAUUCUUCUUGGGGAUUUCACCACGGUUUGUGACCAGUAGUGUUAUCAAGUGCCCAUGAGGUUCGGGUUCUUGCCAUGGCGCAGCCACUGCUUAUCGUCCUGAAUCUGCAGCUCUUCUUCAUCGCUUUCCUUCAGGGACAGGUCCAUGACCAGUAGGAUUGGUAAUCCUGACCGCUUAAUCGCUUAAUCGACCAUAACCUCACCGAGUUUGACGGUUAUUAACCGCAUUGACUGGGUAUUUUGAGGUUACGGUUAUAACCGUUAACCGCUAGGAAUGGGUAUGGUUAGGUUAUAGGUUUUGUAGUAACCGCACCAUCACGGUAAUGAUACACAUAAUUAUCACCGACACGCUAUAUAACCAACAUUUACCGUAACAAUAAGCACACUAGAUAACCUAAAUGUACAUGAACUUUAUCGAGAAAACUAAAUCUUUACUCAUUCUUUCCUAAAAAAUAUCUCAUUUGUCGUCUUCGACUACGACGAUAUCACUUCGUCUCCUCGUUCUCUAUAAAAACUCAAUCAUUAUUAUUCGAUUAAAAAUAUCACAUUCACCAUUUUAGAGCUGAUUAAAGUGGAUGUAUUUUGAUUUUGAUUUUUGAUUUUUUCAUAACUGAGAGUGGUUAUAACCGUUGUGAGUGAUUAUAACCGUUAACCGGAUCGGUAUGGAUGGAAUUAAUUUUGUCACCAAAAUGGAAACGGAAAUGGUUAGGGUUAAUAACCGCUAAAAACGGAUGGAUAAUGAAUAUAUCAUAACCAUCUCCGAACCUCCCUGUUGCCAAGUCUAAGGACCUGCUGUUCCAUCGUUGUCGUAGUUAUUAAAGCUAUCGCCAGAUACAGGUGCUAAACAGCGAGUACGGGAUGGCCGAAACUAACUAAACUCGAAACAAAACUCUCAAAUACGAGAGAAAAACAAAUCUCUCAAAUGCAAAAAAGUAACAAAACUCUCGUACAAGAGAAUACUUGAGAUCUUAGAGAUCUUAGAAACGAUGAUGGUGAUGGUGUCAUAUAACCGUAGAGAGUAGCGAGCUUGAAGAAGGUUAGGCGGCCGGCUUAGGGUCCCGACCGGCGCCAUACGGUUUCUCUCGCCACUCUCUACAUCCCAGCGGCGCUUUUCAUAGUAACUUUGAUGAUAUGAGUUAGUUUCUGAUUCUCUUUGAAUGAAUAUUUUUUCCUGAUUCUCUUUCUGGGAAAAAAUUUAAUUGAUUCUCUAUUUCCCAGCCUGAGUAGUUUAGGUGGACAAUUGAAAUUCUAUAUAAGUUCGUUGGAUUUAAAGUGUAUCGUCUAGUUCGAUCUUUACAUGAAAUCUUACGAUUUUACGAUUACGAUUUUAGGUCCCUUUUCAAUUCCAUGCUGACUCAUCGAUUUCACUACCUUGGGUGUAUCACCUACUUCAGUCCUUAUGUGAUAUCCUAACAAAAAGAAGAGUAAUGUAAGGUAUUGAGUUCAAGAUAACAUAUGAUUUAAUAUAAAGAAAGGGGAAUGAGACAAAAUAGUACCAAGAAAACGUUCCUCUUCAAUUAUAACAAUAUAUCUAUUAUAGCGAGAGCAAGACAAUAAUUAUUACAACCUGGUGUUAGACGGUGAGACUUCAUUCCAACCGUUGGUGUGAUCAGGAUUUGAUUUUCAAUCAUCACUCUAAUGCAGUCCACCAAAACCUUGUCAUGUAUGCUUGUAAGUUAGUUGGAUUUAAAGUGUAUCGUCUAGUUCGAUCUUUACGUGAAAUUUUACGAUUUUACGAUUACGAUUUUAAAUCCCUUUUCGAUCCCAUGCUGACUCAUCGAUUUCACUACCUUGGGUGUAUCACCUACCUCAGUCCUUAUGUGAUAUCCUAGCAAAAAGAAGAGUGAUGUAAAGUAUUGAGUUCAAGAUAACAUAUGAUUUAAUAGAGAGAAAGGGGAAUGAGAUAAAGUAGUAUCAAGAGAGCGUUCCUCUUCAAUUAUAACAAUAUGUCUAUUAUAGCGAGAACAAGACAAUAAUUAUUACAGCUUGAUGUUAGACGGUGAGACUUCAUUCCAACCGUUGGUGUGAUCAGGAUGUGAUUUUCAAUCAUCACUCUAAUGCAGUCCACCAAAACCUUGUCAUGUAUGCUUGUAAGUGAUAAACUAGGUAUUGAUGGGCUUCUAGACUCGAUCGUCCGGGGGACUUUCUGAGACAAUACAAUACCUAAUAAGGCCAAUUUAGACUAGACAGUUAGAAGGUGACCCUUGCCUAAUUAUAUAGUGUGAAGUGUUAUUGAGAGAGUAAAGAUAAAAACUUGUACUCAACCCAUACACAAGCUAUAUGACUGAUGAUGAGCUGUGCCGGAAACACCGAAUUAUACCUACUUAUUGUUAAAGUGGGCAAAUAGUGUUAACGGACGAGAUCAGGAGCCUGGACUCUCAAAAUGGGCUUUUUGAUAAUCCAUACUUUCCUCGAUCCAAAGAGACGGGACCAAGUUUUGAAGGAGACUUGGAAAAAAUACGGGAGAUGGUAGUCCAAGGGUUUUAUGGGCUGAUUCUUUGUUUUUCCCUGGGCUUUUUCCUACAUUCAACGAUGAGAAAGUUGUCGCAUUCGGGAAUCUGAAUGCAACUUGUCUUGUCAUGUGUUUUUGUUCCAAGUGGGAAGGAGUUGUACUUGUACGCCGUAGACAGAUAUAUCACUGUGUUACAACGUGGCCUUGACAUUAUAAUAGACAUGCAUGCAAACAAACAACAUUUAGAAAGCACAACUUGUGGUUGUCGACGGCAUACUAUCCCUUCAUCCCUUAAAAGUAUAUCAGUACUACCCCUCCCGUAAUUCAUUACAAAACAAAACUAUGAAGUUGAUACUCCUGUUGGGUUAUGAUUGAGCCAAAUGUAUCUUUGUAAACCCAAUUGGCCGUCAUAUAAGCUAAAAGAUAUACCGACUUUUCUUGAAAUAUAAAGAAAAUUAUGUAAAUUAAAAAAAUGGGUUGGAUUGUGAUUUGAGAAGCCAAUUGCGAAGACGGGACGAGUAGGUCCUUUGACAAUCGUGAAGACAAGAUGAGAGUGUAUUGUCUUCGCGAUUGUCGAAGGGCCUACUCGCGAAACUAAAGAAUCCAACAAUCGUCAUGACAAGAAGAGGCGCAUCUUAGUUGUUUAUUGGUUUGGUUCAUGACCUCAUGGGACUGUUGUUCUGCUUGAGGGGAAACAAUCUUAUGUGCUAUGAUUUUGAGAGAAAGAUGAAGACCCCACAGGAAGAAGAAGAAACAAGUAGCUAGAAGAAGAUGGGGACAUGACUGACUGACUGACUGACAAGUAGCAUGUGGUGUUACUCAGAUGCAUGAACAAUUUGUAUGAGAUUUGGCCUUUGGGGUCUCUUUUCUUUUUCACUUAUGGAAUCAAUUCUCCCUUAUCUUUAACAACUUAAUUGAUAAAGACUGCCACUAUAUAGCACACUUGUAACAACACCUAAACAAUCUCCCCAUUUGGUCAACUUGUAAGUUACCACACCUGUCGUUACUCGAUAGGCCCGCGAUGGUUCGAGUUCAAAAGUCAACUCGAAUACUAACUCAAUAAUAUGACUUAUAAGUAUACUCAAUAAUGUAACAUGUAUUUUUUACUUCAAAUAUAUCAUGUGUAAUAAAACAUAUGUAGUUUUCUUAUAAAUUAUAGGAUAACUUAUUUUUUAAACUUCACUUGUCGAUGUAUUUUAGCGUACAAGCUUCAAAUUCAACUCAAAUUAUACUCUCAUCGUGGGUUUUAACAAGCGAAAAGUUUCAGUUGAAUUCGCGUUUGGCUCGUAAAUGAUAGUUAACGAGCCAGACUUGGAUAAGCUUGAACUCCUCAUAAGCCAAAAUUUUCUAGCUUGAGCUCGGCUAAAAAAAACAAGCCAAACUUGAGCAUGAUGAAAUUCGGUUCGUGAGCAAUCCUACUUGCACCCUGUGUUUGAAUCCCAUGCUACUAUGCUAGAAGCAAUGCCAAUGAGUUUGACAAGCUAAACUUGAGCAUGGUAAAGUUCAGUUCGACUCGGUCGGUUUCCAAUUCGGGCCAACCAGAAGAAGUAAUUUUAGCAGGACGUACGACUGUUAAAAAGCGUUAAAUGGAACGUCCUUAUGUAAAGCUAGGAUCGUAUAGUUUGCUCGAAUGAACGCGUCACAUAUACAAACGAUAGAACAUGAAUUUUCGAUACCAAUCUGGUUUUUUCACUUAUGAACUCAGAGGGAAUUCCCCCCCAUAAACAAUACAGAGGUAAAUUCUUGAGCUUUACAAUAGUAAUCACUUCUCCAUUGUUGAAAUGCUCGGCCAGCCCUGCUCCCUUUCUGAUCCAUUGAAGCUGCGUAGAAGCCAGAGAAAUGCAGGGUACGUAGGUAAUUACAGCAGAGCAUAGGCACAUUCCAAGACGUAUCUUGUAAUCCAAGCAACCACCGUGUAUCAGCAAAUCUUUGGUCGGCCAACUGCAGGAAGCAAAAGUUUGAGUUCAUAGAAAGAACUAAUGAUCUUUGUACAUAGUAUAUAUGCUUUCCAAAUCAAUAUUAUAAUGUUCUUUGUAAAUAGUAUGUUUCCAACAUUAUAUUAUAAUUUUCUGCCUCUGAAAGAUUUCAAUCAAUACGAUAUUAUAUACAAUUUACUAAUAUAUUAGUCACUAAAUCUCAUCCGUACGUGACUAUCUUGACCUAUUACUAACUGUUCACGAGUUUCGAAAACCAUUUUUGAACCAUCUCUAAAACUACAUUCUCUUCUCUUGUAGUUACAUCAAUAUGUCCAAACCCAUUUGCCCAUUUAGGGCACUAGAGUAUAGUGGGGGGAUUUCUUUUAACAUAUGAGCAUAAAUAUUGUAAAGAUAAGGUAUAUUUGGCCAAUGGGAGACUAUAUAUCCAACUGGAAUUUCUUUCUUUUUUCCUUUUUUUUUUCUCUCAAUUUCUUCCAACCAAACAAAAAUUGGUCUGCCCAUCAAGUUGGAUUUUGAGUAUCAAUCAAUCGAGAAUAGACAAAAGGAGACAAGGACAGAACAAAUUGGAUUCCCUCCCUAACUCCAAAAACACCAGUUCCAAUGUCCAAUAGUAAAAAAGGUUUUCAGAAAAGCAGCUAGCUUUAGGCAAAAUAUGAACACAUACCAAGCUUCAAAUUUGCUACUUUUGUGAAGCUAUCAUUUGGGUUGAAGGUCCACCAGUACUUGAAGUUCCUGGUGGAGGAGGUGGUGGUGCCAUUAUAUUUUGACUAAAAUGUUGCUGCUGCUGCUGCUGCUGCUGUGCUGUUUGGGACCCAAAUCUGAACAUGUUCAUAGCCUGCAAAAGACCAAGAUUGCAAUGACUAUCAAGUCUUCCCAACACGUAUUCUGUGUCAGAGAAAAGCAAAGACCAAACUGUAGCUUCUUUUCUUCUCCCAAUAUGGUAAUCAGUAGGCCACACAUACCAAUGAUCAUAUCCUAUCAAUUUUGUUUGUGUUUACUCAAAGUGCUAUCUUUACUACUCCAUUAAAGGUAGAUAAGAUGCGGAUAUCAGAUUGAUUCCAAGAGAUAGACUUAUAGAUAAGGUUCAUUAACAUAAACUUUACUAAUACCACCAGAUUGUCAACCAGUGGGAGAACCUUAUAAAGGGUUUUAUACUUUCAGUUCAGAGGACUCUCGACGGUGGCCAAAGUUGCACUACAAUAACUCGAUCUGCUGGGAGGAGAGUUUCAUAAUCAGUUUUUAACAAAAUUUCUUUAGACACCGUCUAACAACGAAAGCGCAUGAAAGGGGAUUAAGGUUUGCACAGAUCCACCAAGUCUCGUACAUAUGAUCUGUUAUAUUUGAGGCUGCUAAGAUACGAUCCAAAGAUCUCUCAAUCAAAUUAGACAAUGAAAAAGCUCUAAUACCCUGUGGAGAACCAUUACUUCCCAAUAACUCUAGUGGUUGGAAAAAAAUUCAUAACUAGUUUUUAUAGCAUCGCUCCACACCUCCGUUAUUGUUGACCGAUAAAUACAAUUUCAUUUCACAGAAAGUGAUGAUAAAGACAAAAUUACCUGAGUAGAGGAGGGAGUAGGUUGGAGAUGAAAGGCCAUUAAAUGUGCAUACUGGUCAGAGAAAGCAGCCUGUGCUGCUACUGCUUGAGAAAUGUGGUUGUUGUGGUGCUGGAUCUGGUGGUCACUCCUGAUGUUAUUAUUAUGAUUAUUGACCAAUUGGGUAACAGCUUGGUGUGAAUGUGAUGAUGAUGAUGAUGGUUGGUGGUGGUUAUUCAUCAAUGGGAUCCCACCAGAGAUAUGUGGUGGUACUGGUGGGUGCCCAGUCAUACCAAAUCCCAUUCCAAGACCCAUCCCCAUUCCCAACCUGGACAUGUAAUGCUGCAUUCCUGGAAACAUUACUCCUUGUGCUGCCAUCCCACUACCCAUCCACAUUACCUUCAUCAUCAUUGGUGAACAAAAAACAAAGGUUUCAGUAUCCAAUCAAAAUGCAGCAGCAAGCAGUUUGUUGUAUAAAAAGAAAACCCACCUGGAGCUGCAGUUGGAGUGACUUCAGGUAGUCAAUUGCCUCAUCUAGCAUUGAUGCCUUGUCUGUCUGCAAACAUUUUCCCAGAUUUUUUUUCUUACCCAAAUUAGAAAUUUACCCCUUUUGGAAAUCCAGAUGGAACAAGGAUUACUAUAUAAAGUAAGGUUUCACAUCUAGAAUCAUGUUCUCUAAAAACAGUAUGGUUAGUAGAAGAAAAUUGAGUUGAGGUUGAGAGGGCCCGUAGAAUGAAAAUUGAACUAGAGUCGCUUGGGAAACACAACUCCACGAAUAAUCUCUUAAUAGCACUCUAGUCAAACCUUCUUUCCAUUACCUCUCCCAACCUCAAUUUAACUUUCAAUUAUCUAGCGAUUUUCCUUAGAAACAUGAUUCUAUAUGCGAAAGCUUAUAAUCAUACAGACAUAUACCUUGGUGCUGUUUGGGAUAAGUUCUUGCAAAGCUUUCAUCUUCUCAUUGAUUCUGUCUCUUCUUCGCUGUCAAACAACUCACCAGGAUUAAGAAAUUAUAGAACAACCAAAUUCUGACUGAUGAAUGAAGCCUGGAUUUUCAAUCUUACCCUUUCUGAGAGGUUAUGAACUUCAGCAGCACGAGCCCUUCGACCCGAUUUUGAUAGCUUCACCGCCUUGUUCAACCCGGAUGAUUGAUCCAGCUCAGCAGACUAACAUCAGAAAAUCCAAGAGAAAACUUAUUAGAAAAUUCCGUUUCUUUUUUUCGUUGAAUGGUUGGUGAUUAUAAUAACUUAUUUAACUAACUAACCUCACUCUGGCACUCGGACUCUUCAUUAAAAUCCAACGACCUCUUCCUUUUGCCACCAAUCUUACUAAACGUACUGCCAUCCCCUGAUCCAGACCCACCGGAGGAAGAAGUACCCGUCGCCGCCGUCUUCCUCUCCGAAAAAGGAGGCGUCUUUUUGGCGGCAGUCGGAAAUCCCUGAGUAGGAGGAACUGGAAAUCGGUUGCUGGAACCAACUGUCAUAACCGAACCCUCCUUCCCAACAACUUCCUGUUGUUGAUGAUGAUUUGUCGGCUGCUUCGAAAUCCCCUCGUUUGGAUCAGGCGCGCCGCUGGCGGGAAAGUCAGGGAAUUCCGACAGGACAUUAGAGCAGAACUCUGUUUCGUCGGCGGCGGCGGCUGCAUCUGGAAACGGGUAAUGGAUCCAGGAAACGGUUUCAUCAUCCUGGAUCAAGUCACUCAGCGGGUUAUUAUUGUUGUGAUUGAUGAUUCUUUUGGGCGUCUGGGUUUGCAGAACCACCUGGCCGUCUCUCCAUAGCAGCUCCACUAGCUCGUUAUUAUCUCCCCUGUUUAUUGGAGGGACAAAAAACAGAGUACAAUUUAAAACAUAAUUACACAAUAGAAAAGGUUGGAAAUUUAUAGAGAGAGAAGGGUACCCAGUUGAUUUCUUGUGAGAGAGAAGAUGAUCAGGCUGAUCGAAGCUACUCCAAUCGGCCAGGUAAUGAUUAUGAUGAUGAUUCAUGGCUCUGCUUUCUUCCCCUGUUUACCGAAAAGGAGGAAUAAACAAAUAAUUUAAUGAACGAAUGUUUGUUUAAUGGUAAGCUUUACAAUUAAAUAGAUUAGUUAAUUACUAAUCAAAUCGUUUUCUGUCAUUAUCCAAAGUUGUUAACAAAUAGUUUCAAAGAAGGGAUAAGAAAAAGGAAUAAGUGGCCAUAAACAAAGACUAAUUAUGCAGUCAAAAUUAGCUCUUUCAACUUCGAACCAGAAUCCAGAACUGGAAAUGAAGGAAGAAAGACAAACCUCUUUGAAAUUUCUUGAUUUCAAGGCCAAUGAACAACUGGGAGGAAGAGGAAGAACAAGAAGGAGAAAGUUUCAAUCUUUUUUUCUUAUUUGAUUUUCUUUUGGAGAUUCUGGAGAGUGAAAGAGAAGGAGCUGUAAGCCUGUAUUUGAUUUGAUAGGAAUAGGAUUGGGGAAGGAGGGGGGAAAGAUUCUGUACGAGCACCACCAUGGUUUCCUCCCCUGCAUCGCUGGAAGUCCACGUGGCGGAUGAUUAGCGGGUGUGUGGCGGGUCCCAGAUGGCUGAUCGGGUGGAGAUCUAGAACUGCCACAGCAGCAGCAGCUGGGGUGAAGUUGAGGAGGAGGAGAUCUGAGCGUGCAACCAGGUUUUGACACGUGGACUGUAUCUUUGAUAGGGACGAUUAUUAAUUGCCACGCCAGCAACGGAGUAGGAAAGGAAUUAUUAUUAUUUUUGGUUAUCUGGAGCUUCGCAUGCACUCACUGAUUGAUUGGUGGAGAAAGUUGGUUUGAUUAUGUUGGGAUUCUGUUGUCUGGGAGUCUUGUCUGCUGCAAUUGUCGGGCUCCUCCUUGUUUGGAUACCAAUCCAAACAUGAUAAAGCUGGAGAUAGCGAGAGUGAAAUCCUAAGAUGAUUCGAAAACAGUUCAUAUUUAUCAUAUUUUGAGUUGGAAUUUUGAGGCUAUUCCUGAUAAAUCUACUCAGUUUAUGAUUAAGAUUUUGGAUUUUUUUGCAGGGGAUUUACAAAACAAAAUAUCUUACAUGUGGGCGGAUACUAUUGCUAAUUUAUCUUUAUUAAAUAAUUGAGUUUACACGAAUGAGGUAUAAUCGAAGUGGUAACUUGUUGGUUUUUAAUUUAGAGAUUUCAUGUUUGAAUUUCGAAAAAUACUCUUUUCAUUGCAAUGUUUUAGUAUAUUUGGUUUGCUUAAAUAAUCAUCCAGGUUGAAGGCCGACAGUAUUUUGUUGUGAAAUCUGGUGAUUUUAACUUGAAACUGCGUCGUAAAGUUGUUCAAAUAAAAAAAGCAACAUUCCCUCAUCAAUAAAUGUGUCCAAGCUAUUUAACGGGAAAUUAAUCUUGUUCAACAAUCAUUAAUUCAACUACCCUCCAAUUCUUACCAACCUUAUUUCAACUAUCUUCGAUUAAUCUCAACUCAACAACUUUUUUUGGGAAAACGUAAUUCCCGCGAACUAUGCCACCUCUCAAACAAACUCAUAUCCUACCUUACCCGGCAAACACAUUCCCGUUAAUCGGAUAGAGUAGGCUUCAAAUUGUCUAUCCCUAGCAAAUGAUUAGUACUAGAGGAACGAUCGAGCAUCUUUUAACUGACUAAUAUACAGCCAUUACAUUUUUGUUACAUGAAGGAAACCUUUCGCCUAGGCUAUGUCCGUCCGAACUGCAGUGUAAUAAGAAGCUCGUAAAUAGUCAAGGUACGAGCUUCCUUGCCUAGUAUGGAUCCAACUAACUACAUUGCAAUGCCCAUAAACUUUUAAAUUUCCAUAGAACCUUCGCUCUGUCAAAAUUGUACUACUUGCCUACUUCAUCCCAAUAUCAUGGCCUUCACCUCGUGUUUAUUUCUCCCUCGCAACGACUUCUCCGUCAAGUUACACUCCGCGACAAAAUUAGCGAUACGAUUACGACUCACGGGUAUGUAUCCUCAGGUCCUUAAUAUAUCUUGCAUUUUCGGAAGACUUAUCUUAUCUGGCGUGUGAGAGCCGGUCAUAGAUAUCGAUGUUUUGCUACUCUUUCCUCCGCAUUAUCGUUUCCCUUCUUCUGCGUUGUAACCUUCGAAAUCUCAGGGUUCAGCAAGGGCAUCCCAGCCAGCCCAUCGCAAGAGAGAACACGAGCUAUUGCUUGCAUCGAGGCUUUAAGCGCAGGUGGAAGGGACUUUCGGGGAUUACUUACCUGCAAAAUUAUAACAAAAAAUGACCUUAGUCCAGAUAAAGAAGCUGACAAACACAGAAAGCAGGUCUCAUACUGAAUUACUUACUUUGAAUAUGAUUGCAGCAGAUAACCGCUCUUUCAAGCAGUAAAUCUGAGCAACAUCGAUCGCUUUCGAUUUCAAAUGAAGCCAUCUAUCCAUAACAAUAGUCACGGGAUUAUCAGGGGCGGACAUGAUUUUCUGACCGGUAAGAUCAUCGAUUUCCAUUCCAUCAUCAUCAGUUUUGUUCUCAGCAUCAUUCUUUCCGUCUUUAUUAUCACCAUCAGUAUUAUCAUCAUUUGCAGUAGCAACUGCUAUUUCUGUAGCAAGAAGUACCAGCGGGACCGGGCCAACAACAGUACAGCUCAUUAUACGCAUACCCAUAUCUCCGCGAGUUACCUCAUCAUAAACCACAAGAGGGCAGACAUCGUACUUAGUAGACAUCAAUUUUCCACAAAGGGAAAAAUUAUUCAACCGGACUUUCGCACCAUCAGCCGUCUGUAUUACCCCGCGUUUAUCGUCUUUAGGCGGCAAGACUUUUCCGACAUUGGGAUACAUGCUAGCCACAAGAACAGCAGCGAUUAUGCUGGGAUCACAUGCGUUACCGUUACAGGUCGAGACAUCUUCCGGUAUAAGACCGUGACGAAUAAGCUCCUCGUGGAGCUGCUUACGCAUACUGGAAAGCAUUUUCAUGGUACCAACAGGUAAGUGGUAAUCAGAACAAAAAACGGCGGCUUUACCUUUGUCUUUGGCCUUUCGCCAGCAGUCAAAAGCUGCUACUACCGCAAGCUGAUCACUGAAGCCGCCAUAUACCGAACCAAGUUCAAAUUUACGGUCAUUUGCUUUCUUUUUCUCGUCCGGGGAUAUGGGAAGCAUAAAUGGAGAUCUGUAGUCAGCGGCACACGCUAUGGUCAAUGCAGGGUCAAGACAGUUCAUCAAGACGCCAAAUAAUAGCAUCUUGCUGAUUAAAGGGUGAACAGGUAAGCGACCGAGUGUUUUUCCUAGUUCUGUCAACUGUUCACCGGGUGAUAAAGCACCAAGCUCUUCAAGAGCCCCGAUAGCAUUAGCUAUGGAUUCAGGGUAGGGAGGAUCCAUCGUCUUCAGCAAAAAAGAUUCUAUCUUGCAACUCGGAUCCAGCAACUUCACCUGUAACAAACAUUAAAUAGGAAAAAAUCAUAAAUAGAGCUUGCAAGGACAACCAAUAAAGGUUUAGCCUUUCAAAUUUUUCACCAGAACCUGAAUGCAGAACUUAACAUCCUUUUGUGGUAAUGGUGUUCAAGAUAUUUACCUGCAGACAAAGUUCAUCAAUUGGUAUUCUCCUAAUUUCCGGGACUUGGAAAUCAGGUAAGGAAGCAGCUCGAAAUUUCGAAAAAAGAUGGUAACAUAUCCCAGGCUGACAUCGACCUGCACGCCCCUCCCUUUGUUUUGCACUUGCCUUUGAUAUCCAUGAAGUUUGAAGAGUAGAGACAUUACUGAAGGGAUCGUAGCUUUUCUCUUUCAUUCGACCACUGUCUAUGACGUAGACAACAUCAUCAAUAGUGAUGGAACUUUCUGCUAUAUUAGUUGAAAGGACUAUCUUACGGCAACCUAGACGAGGACGAUCGAAAACCUUCUUUUGCUCGGCUGGUGGAACCAUCGAAUGAAGAGAAAUUAUCAGAAACUUGGAAGGAUCCUUAAAGAAGGAGUUUUCCAGUAAUCUCUUCCGGAUCUUGUUUAUAUCAUCCCAUCCUGGUAGGAAGACGAUUAUAGCACCAUCUCUAGAGUCCUGACAUAUCUUCUUCAAUAAACGCUCUAUAAGCAUGACAUCGAUAAGAUCAGGAUCGACUUCUGCUAGAUAUUUAUCAAGCAAAGCUUGGUGUUCUGAAGGGUCACACAGGGCGCUGCAGAUAUGACCUUUUAGUACUCCAGCAACUUCUUGUUGGUUUUCUCUUUCUGCCAAUGCCAACGCUGUCAUACCAUCUUUGUUCUUUAAACCGUGGUUAGCACCUACAGAGAGGAGCAUGCAAACAUCCCCCACUCUACCCUUUCCAGCAAAGACCAUCAAUGGGGUUAACCCUGUUGAAGAAUGCUGGUAAUUAUAAACAUUUGGGCUCCCUCCAGAGGAUACCAAGUCCAUGAGAAGAUCAAACUCAUCAUUAAACCAUGCCAAAUGAAUAGCUUCGUCUAAAGCAGCUUUCUCUUCCUUGCUCAGGUCAUUUGGGGAAUCUUGCAUGGAAGAAUCGGGAUGAUUGCCAUUUGAAGAUUUUAGGAUAGAAAGAGCAUCCUCUAAAUAUAAGGCUGUAACCUAAAGGAGAAAGAAAGAAAGAAAAAGUAUUAUAACAAAAGAUCAUCUAUCCAGUUAAAUGGCAUUAAUAAAAGGAGGAUGAAAGUUUACAGGAAAAGUGAAACCAGGGACACGUAUAAUUGGGCAGCCACCAAAAUACUGAGCAAAUCUCUCCGCAUCAAGGGUAGCACUCAUCAGUAUCUGUAGUGUUAAUGAUGAUACAGACUGUUAAUAAUUGGGUAUAGGAGCUCCGAACUCCAUUGUUCAGCCGCAAACAAAAAUUGUUAACGUACUGACAUAUUAUUUCAAAAUAGACAGCCAGCAUCUGAACUAACCAGUCGAAGAUGCGGAUACAGAGGAAGCAAGUCCCUGCAUUUAAGAGAUAAGCAUCAUAAAAACUACUAUGACGAAAGUAUCAAUUGGAAGUUGUAAAGAAAUAUGUUUGAUUGAAGAAAUUGACGAUGAGAAGUUCUAUAAGCAGCUAUUAUACAAAUCCAAAGAAAUACACAUAAAUCGAUCAAUCGUGUAGACCUCUACCACUACUUUGUAAAUACUUAACAAUAAGUUUGCAAAUUUCAUGUUCAUUUAUUUAUUAGUCAUUCAAAAUCAGUAGAAAACAUUUCAAGACUUCAAAAUAAACUUUUUCAGCAUCUGGUCAGCAGAAUUUUUCAAGUGUGACGAAGUGCUUCACCAGGAAAGUAGAAUCCUUGUCAAGAAUAAGAAUCUAGAACCCUAUGCAACUAGUACUUUACAGUAGCCUGCAUAACAAAUGAACUCAAGAACUAUAAAAAGUACCUGAUUACUGUCAACAUGAAAUCUGAAUGACGAUCCCUCUCAUGGAUUUCAUCCUACAUAGUGCAAAUGUAAUCAUCAUAAGAUUGUGCUUUCAGAACCAGCAAGUACAUUCGUUUGUGCAUGUGAUAGUUAAAAUCUUUAAAACUGCCCAGCAUUCAUAGUGUGAUGUGAAACUUGAAAGGUUAAGUGAAAAUCAGGAUAGUCCACAGACAAAGGUUUCAUGAUUCAUUUCCUUCCAUUAUAGGCACACCACCAAAUCCCCAAUCUCCUUAACAAAUGAAUAAAAAUAAAAUACAACAAAAAAAUGAACAUUUUGCUGGAAGAGUGACCAUGUGAAGAUGAUAAACAGAUAGUGUUUUAAAUACAGACAGUGACGUUGGACAGGAAUCCGUACCACUAUAAUGUGAGAUAUCCCACUCAGUUCUUCACCUCGUUUGCUGGAAGGACCGGAUAGGCUUGUACCACCAGAAACAAGCACCCUAAGUAAAAUCCCAUUUGUGCAAAACACAAUUGAAGAGUUCCUGCUACCCUUACUUUCUAACCGAAUCUAGUAAAAUGAACACAUGCGUCAGACAUAAAGUCCUCAAACUUUGAAUGACAAGAAAGUAGGGAAAGAACAAAAAUCAAAUUUAUAGAAGAUAGGCUAGUAAGAAUGGAACAGAGAGGAGUUUCUUUAAGGUAAACAACCACACAAACUCAACGCGAGUAAGACCCAGAGCAGUAUAUACUAUUUCAUAAAGCUAAAGGCAAUGAAAGCAUAUUUUGAUAUUCCAAUCAUCAAGACUUAUCAAUUUCAAGUUUUUAAACAACCAUUAACAUGAUAUUUGAUGCUUGCCUUAUAUCCAACAUCAUCUCCAGUUGUUUGUCCCCUUUCUUGAGAAAUUCUAUCAGCAACUAGAUGACCAACAAAAAGUACAACAGUUAGAUUAGAUUAUAUACACAAGACGUGCAACUGCAAUUUGCCAGUGUAAGAAAAUAGGGCUCCACCUGACAUUGCAGAGAUACGCCGAGGUUGAGUGCAAACUAUUUUGCCUACCUCACCUUUGCUCCACAGAUGAUCCAACAACAUUUGUGGGACCUGCAAAUGAGAAGAAAUAUCCAAAACUGGUUUAAACGAUGAUCAUAAUUUAUUAGAUUCAGACCCAUGAAUAAUCCUUAGAUAGCAACUCCCAAGAAAAUAUAACACAUAAAGGAGGAGAUGGAUAGACCUGUGUGGUUUUCCCGCAACCAGUCUCGCCAGAUAUGAGGACAACCUGUUGAAAGUUUAAGACAAAUUGGAAGUCAAAUACGACAUAGAGCCAAGGAACAGCCUCAUCAAACACAUUAACUCAUACCAUAAAAACUGUGUGUUACUUUGGAUAACGACAUAUCAAGGUUACAAGUUGAUCCACAAUCGCAUACAGAAAAACUGUAUAACGGGAAAGUCAUAAGACAAACUUCAGAAUACAAGUGAGUGAAAUUUUUACCUGAUUAGAAUCAACAGUGGAUCUAAUGACUUCAGAGAACGCUGCAAUAGGAAGCUUAGACCUUGCUUCAAAAGUCUGAACAAACACAGAAUCUUAUAAGUAUCAUCGAACGGACCAUUAAUUAGCAAGUUUAUUAAGUCCUUGUAGUAAGGUGGCUUGAGCACAAGUACGUGGCAAAGGAAAACUGUAGUUAAAGUGCCUAAGCAACAAAAUCAGCAAGAAUUUAGUGGGAUACCUUUCUGAAACGUGCAUCCUUUUUCAAUUUCGAACUAAGCAACUCCACCUUCUUCCUUAUAUCCUCUUUGCUUAUCAAAGGCGAAGAGAACAUAGAAUCACCCCUUUUUUGGCCAGCUUUACUCCUAUUCUUCUGAGCCAACCUGGAACCAAGGUCUUCAUCUUCAGGAGGGUAACGUGAAAACAAAUCCUGUAAGAUCAUCUGUGACUGCUCUGAAAGAGUCAAACAGCUUAAAUUCUCGUUGUUUUUUUCCUUUUUCUGUUGCUUCCCAGUACUCUUGUUUUUAGGUUCCUUCCCAGGUGUCUUAAAAACAGAAACACAUCGUUGGUUUCCAGUCCUACAAUUAAGUUCAAGUUUGUAAGAAACUAUGCUAAUAAGUAUCCCUGCAAAUAAAAUCUGAGGAUUCACAGGACCUUUGGAGUUGCAAAGAAACUGUAACAACCCGAACUGUUGACCGCCAACAAAGUAACAAAGAGCUUUAGAGUUUGAGAGCGCACCCCUUACUCUUGGAUUUCAUUCCCAUUUUGGUACAAAGUAAAUGCACCAGAGCACGGUCUAGUUUUGAUUGGCUAGCUUCAAAUGUGAGAACUGCAAGAAGCAUCCAAGCAAAACUUAAUGCGGCAAAUACUGUAAAGUGCUUCUGUUACAGCAAAAAAUAGUAACAUUGCCAAACAGUUAGAUGAGCUUGCAUUAGCCCGACACCAUUCACUUCUCUAGAUAGCAUUCACAUUCGGUUGACACAUAUUUCGAAGAUAUCAUAUGGAAACAAAACGGAAAAGACCCGAGUGACAAAACAAAACUAUCCUGCAAUCUAUUAAAAUAACCAACCUAUUUUGUCACAUUGUUGCUGAACAAGAUGGUGUCCAUAAGUAAGACUCUAUAUUCCAUUAAAUGAAGCUCUAAGUGUCACAAAGUCAAAUUCUACCAGGUUGCAAAGUCCCGUGAGUAGCACAGAUGUUCACGAUCUCAUCGUAGCUUAAUACAGAAGGAUAGGAGCCAGGAAUUAGUAUGAGAAUCCCUAAGUUUCAGCUAUGUACUAUUCAUCAGGGACCGUGAUUGUAUUGACAACUAAUGAAAAAUCAUAACGCAAUGAAGGUGAGCUGAUGAAGAAUAAAGGCAACACAAUGAUUAUCAAGCAUCUUUAACCUUUCGGGACAGCUAAUGGUACCAAUAAACGGAAAUAUUCAAGACAUUCACUCUAAUUCUCCAGGUUGAAAAUGAGGGAUACACCAUAAGAACAGCUCAAUAGGAAAACGGCAAUGAUAUCAUGUUCUGGAAAGCUAACCUGGCUCGUUUGAAGCUUGAAACGUUCGGAGUAGUUCAUGAAUAUGAGCACGAUUUUCCUUAGGAACGUGGUUUACUUUACCCCACAGACUCUUGCCUUUCUGCCCCUUCUGCCCCUUCAUCCUCGCCAUGAUUAGGCUUUCACCUGUUAAUUUACAGGUGUUGUUAAGACGAGCUGGAAGGAGCCACCUAUCAACUCCGGCUGAACUGUCUCAGGUGGUGACGCUGUAGCCGGCGGCGGGGAUGAGAGAGGUUCGUUUAAAUUCUCUAGGGGGGCGCCUCUUGCUUCUUCUUCGCUCCUGGUUUUUCUGUUUUUUUUGCAGUCGGGGAUUUCACCACGUUUCUGCAGUCUGACGGGCUAAGGGUAAUAUUUGAAUUUCCACAUAGCUGGGGAUCCGGUUAUCUUUUGGGCUAAACUUGCCCAAUCCAUUGGGCUUCAAAUGUUUGCCAAUCGUUGGGCUUCAAAAUUUUUAAAAUAUCAAAAUAUUAUUAUGUCAACAACCCCGAUAAGCCAAAUAGAUGCAUGAAAUUGUUUCGCAAGUUCGUGGGCGACUUGAUUCUUCAACUGAAUAGCUUGGAAGCAGUCGUCUGGAUGAAUUAUUAAUAAUGCUCACAGACGAAUGUUGGAUGUUCCUGCUACAAACUUGUGUCGUUGCUCAAGCAUUAGCCCCGAGAGGGACUACAGAGAGCCUCAAGCUUCUGUGAGAUGCCAGGUAUAUAGACAUAUUUAUAAUCUCCAACUUGAAUAAGUGCGUUAGUUUAUGCAAUUUAGGCGACCGCCGGUUGACUCUCGACAUUUUUCUUACGUCAUAAAAGUACGAUUGGAAUGUACGAGUUUCCUAUACUUUAAAAAAAGAAGACAAACGAGCUGUAAAUCUCCACCAAAAGUACUCGUUACGUAUUGGGUCUCAUCUUCUAUCUAGCAUUUUUUUAUAACAUUAUUGAGUAUAAUAAAGGUGAUAUUAUGUGUGUGAUUUUCUCCCAACACUUUCAAAGAAUAAUUAAAGACCGUGAGUACGAUUUUUUCACCAAAAAUUAUAUGCUAUCAUAAUAAUAAUAAUACAUAGUGUGCACAUAUAUACUACACCACAUGCAUAUACAUGGUCUCUUAUAUAUGAACAAAAUAUCAAUUAGUUAACCAUACUAUGAUAACAAAUUUAUGUCUACCUCUAACGCUAUAUAACGGUCCUACUCCUGAUUAGCUACCUAGAUGGUUAAAUCCAAGUUCAUGUGGUUAUCUGUCCCAAGAGACAAGAACUCAUAAAAUCUCUUGUUGUUCACAUAGUUCAUAUUUUGUGACACUACUCCAAAUUUAUCGUCGGCACCAUUGAUCAAACCCAUACAGCUUCGAUUAUCUUCUUUUCCAUGUUGCAUAAUCGUCGAUGUUGUCGUAAAACAGAGUGAAAGGUCGCAAUCGGGCUCAUCUUCAUGAUCAUUGCUACUUCUUCCUUCACCAUCUCCCAUUAUCAAUCUUCCAUCAAAAUUUCUUGUUGGACGACCCUGUCAACCAUACAUUCAAAAUAAUUCUUGUCACGUUAUACUCGAACGAGAAUUCGAUACACGAUACUUGGCUUUAUAAGCAUGCCAAGUUGUGCACAAUCUACCUGUACUUGUAACGAUUUACUGUCGACGACUUGUUCGAGUAAUGACGGUGGGGGAAGUGAUGAUCUGACUAUAGUACUGCUGCUGUUGGUUUCAUUGCCGUCGGAGAUGAUCGAUAAAGUCUGAAGCCUGCUGCUGGAUUCAUACUUAUGAUGAUCGUCUUCGAAUCGUCUUGGUACAUCGUCAUCAGCUUGGUCUUCCCUGUGAGUAUUAGUAUAAUGUACAUUACUACAUCAUGUUUGUAACAUUGAUUAAACUAUAUACAGUCCUGGAAAUUAGGUACGAGGCAAGCCAUUAGUAAAGCUAGCUGGAAACAAAGGCAUACCUUUGUGAAGGCGGCCCAUGUAGUGCUACUUUUGGUGGGAAAUUGUUCAUGUUUCUGUACAUCUGCCAAACCAUCAAUAUUAUUUACACUUGGCAGAUUAUUGGGAUGAGAAAUCAAAAAUAAUUGCAGUCCAUUGUUUUCGUCCAGAAUUAAUGACGUAAUUGACGCAUUAACUAUUAAUGAAUAAUAUAGAUGUAAUAUCAAACUUAUUUUCUGAUAAUUCGACUUAUUAGAAUGUAAUGAUUUACGACGGUAGCGAUGUUCCCAACGAAAGGACGCAAUAUUGAUAUGUCCAAAAUAGGCAGUCCCGUCAUACUCCUAAUUAGUCAUAGUGCAUGUCAGGAACUUAUUAGGUAUUAUAGCACUAUAGCCUAUAUAUACUAGCUAGCUUGUGCAAAAUCUAUAGUCUAGUCUUUUAGAUAAAGAUGAUACUUAUCUUAGCUUUAAAAUCUGUUGAAAUAAAAUGUGCUCAUUUAAUUUGUAAUUUUGUAUAUGUCACAUGUUAUGAUUUACCAAGCAUGCACAUCAAAUAUGAUUUAUGUCGAAUACUAUGAUCAAAAGCUAGCUAGUUCCAACGUGAGUUCGUGAAUAAUAUAAAUAUCAAUUAAAAUUAUUUUCCAACAAUUCAUUGAAUUGUUGGGAUGCAACGGUUCUUAAUAUGAUAUCAGAGUCUUAUAUGACAGAGAGAUCUCCGUUUCGAAUCUCGGUAGCCCUUAAUCCGUGCACAUGACUUAUCAAAGCUGUGCAAACCUCAACUCUUAUAUCAAUCAGAAUCCUCUCCCAAUAUGAAUUUUCCUUAGCAUCGAUUUUGAGAUUCAAACUCGAAACCUCACAGUCUAAUCUCAAUUAUUUAUCAUUAGGCCAACCCAUGGUGAGUUAACUGAUUCUAGCUCUAAUGUCACACUUAUAGGUGUGGUUGGAGAUUCUCAACUAAAAAAUUAUAGAUGUUUAAUUUCUCAGUUGACUAUAAAGUAUACAUAGAAUCCAAGGCAAGGUGGUUGAAUGUUUUAAUAAAUUCACUAUAUUGAUUUUUGUCACAAAAUUUAAGAGAUACAGUUUCGAGUUAUUAGGAGAUAUGGUUUUAUGUUAGAUUUUAUAUUAUUCAUAAAUAAUAGUUUCACUGCUCACACAAGAGUUAAUGUUUCUAUAAAUUUAAUAAGUCAUAUUCACGGAUUAAGAGUUACUGAAAUUCGAAAUGAAAACUCGUUAUUAAAUAUCUAAUACCAAGUCAUAAAACAUUACUUAUUCAUCAAUAACUUGAAUUAUUAGUAAUUAAUUCAUAUUUUUUUUUUAUAAUUAUUCAUUCAUAUAUAUAUAUAUAAUACAUACGACAAGGCCCUCCUUCAAUUAGAGUUAUUCAUGAUUCACUUAGACUCAUUUUUUAUUUGUUCCACUUUAACACAACCCUAAGCUUAUAAUGUUCACAGAAUCCAUCAAAAGACAAAAGAACUUCCAAGCUCACAGAAAGAUGAAUCUGAAGAAGAAAUUGAAUUGCACUGCCAUUUCAAUUGAUUUUGAAACAAGUUUCAAUUUUUUUUCUUUGAAAAUAUGGAAAGUAAUGAUAAAAAAAUCCGCAAAUCCGACUCUCGAUUACUUUUAAAAUAUGGGGGUUUUGGGUGCUAUUAUAUACGGUUUAUAUUAUUCUUCGCGUUGUCCGUAUUUUAAUAUCUUACACCCUGCUUGAGUAUGUAACAAAUCCUCUCCAAAUCUAAACAACAAACGAGCCCUAAGUAAAUUUGAUUCGCGAUCGAGCUGGUUGAAGAAGAAAAUGAUGAAGAGUGAUAUGAUAAUAAAAAAAACCUGGAGAUGGCUUUUAACAUGUGAAAUCUUGAGCCCUUCCACGUUAUUCAUCGCCAGCAGUAUCCGCUUCGGCGUCGCUUCUUCAAAGUUAUCAGAAUUCCAACAUCAGAAUGCAUCUCGAGUCAAAAAAAGGACAAUUUCUGAUGAAGCAUAUGCACUUACUCUGUUUACCGCCGAGGGAGUGGACGGCGUGGGUGNNNNNNNNNNNNNNNNNNNNNNNNNNNNNNNNNNNNNNNNNNNNNNNNNNNNNNNNNNNNNNAUGUGUGUGCAGCCGCCCCCCCGCCGCCCCCCCCGCCGCUGCUGCUUCUCCGCCGCCGGCUCCGGUGGUUGCGAAUACUGACGAUAUUAUCCUCCAUGUUUAUGUUGAUUGGAAAUUGAAAAUAAGGGAAGUAGAUAAGGAGGGGCCAUGGAGGAGGGGAUAUAAGUAUUAUGGAAAUGUAAGACUAUAGUAGUGUGAACCCACCUGCUUUAUAGUAAACACCAUACAAUGAAAAUUCAAACACACAUCCACAUACAAAAAAGAAAAGAGAAUGAAUUAAUUUAGGACCAUCCUUGUUCUUAUUUUUAUAAUUUACUAGAANNNNNNNNNNNNNNNNNNNNNNNNNNNNNNNNNNNNNNNNNNNNNNNNNNNNNNNNNNNNNNNNNNNNNNNNNNNNNNNNNNNNNNNNNNNNNNNNNNNNNNNNNNNNNNNNNNNNNNNNNNNNNNNNNNNNNNNNNNNNNNNNNNNNNNNNNNNNNNNNNNNNNNNNNNNNNNNNNNNNNNNNNNNNNNNNNNNNNNNNNNNNNNNNNNNNNNNNNNNNNNNNNNNNNNNNNNNNNNNNNNNNNNNNNNNNNNNNNNNNNNNNNNNNNNNNNNNNNNNNNNNNNNNNNNNNNNNNNNNNNNNNNNNNNNNNNNNNNNNNNNNNNNNNNNNNNNNNNNNNNNNNNNNNNNNNNNNNNNNNNNNNNNNNNNNNNNNNNNNNNNNNNNNNNNNNNNNNNNNNNNNNNNNNNNNNNNNNNNNNNNNNNNNNNNNNNNNNNNNNNNNNNNNNNNNNNNNNNNNNNNNNNNNNNNNNNNNNNNNNNNNNNNNNNNNNNNNNNNNNNNNNNNNNNNNNNNNNNNNNNNNNNNNNNNNNNNNNNNNNNNNNNNNNNNNNNNNNNNNNNNNNNNNNNNNNNNNNNNNNNNNNNNNNNNNNNNNNNNNNNNNNNNNNNNNNNNNNNNNNNNNNNNNNNNNNNNNNNNNNNNNNNNNNNNNNNNNNNNNNNNNNNNNNNNNNNNNNNNNNNNNNNNNNNNNNNNNNNNNNNNNNNNNNNNNNNNNNNNNNNNNNNNNNNNNNNNNNNNNNNNNNNNNNNNNNNNNNNNNNNNNNNNNNNNNNNNNNNNNNNNNNNNNNNNNNNNNNNNNNNNNNNNNNNNNNNNNNNNNNNNNNNNNNNNNNNNNNNNNNNNNNNNNNNNNNNNNNNNNNNNNNNNNNNNNNNNNNNNNNNNNNNNNNNNNNNNNNNNNNNNNNNNNNNNNNNNNNNNNNNNNNNNNNNNNNNNNNNNNNNNNNNNNNNNNNNNNNNNNNNNNNNNNNNNNNNNNNNNNNNNNNNNNNNNNNNNNNNNNNNNNNNNNNNNNNNNNNNNNNNNNNNNNNNNNNNNNNNNNNNNNNNNNNNNNNNNNNNNNNNNNNNNNNNNNNNNNNNNNNNNNNNNNNNNNNNNNNNNNNNNNNNNNNNNNNNNNNNNNNNNNNNNNNNNNNNNNNNNNNNNNNNNNNNNNNNNNNNNNNNNNNNNNNNNNNNNNNNNNNNNNNNNNNNNNNNNNNNNNNNNNNNNNNNNNNNNNNNNNNNNNNNNNNNNNNNNNNNNNNNNNNNNNNNNNNNNNNNNNNNNNNNNNNNNNNNNNNNNNNNNNNNNNNNNNNNNNNNNNNNNNNNNNNNNNNNNNNNNNNNNNNNNNNNNNNNNNNNNNNNNNNNNNNNNNGUGUUUCACAUCUACUUAAAUGCAAAUUAAACAUUCCUAGAUUUUUUUUUUAUAAUAUCCCUUAAUGUAACACUAUUGUUUCAGGCUCUUCCAAUCUCAAUCCAACAAAUCUCCCAUUACAGUGCACUACCGUGGAAACAAACUCAGCGUAAUAUUUUACUAAAAAUAUUUACGAAUCCAUAAUAAUUCAAUACAUCAAGCUGAAUUUCACAGAAGUUAAUUGAAGUAAAAUGAGUCGCAUAUAGCAAAAAUUACAGGAAACUAUACUCUAAAUAUAACAUCCAUAUAGCAAAUAUAAUAGUCCAUCCCAAAAGUGUUGUCGGUAAUCCUCACUCCUUGAGUUGUUAACUAAAUUUUGUUUGAUUUUUUAUGCGAUAUCUUCUUACCUCCGCAAGGAAAAAAAGAGUAUGAUAGUCCCCCCUAAAUAUACGGAAUAAUAUACUCUUAUCUAAUUUAUAAAUCCAAAAGUGAGGUGGGUAUUCACCAGAAAUAACUGACCAAAUGUUGCAAGUCAAGGACAUACAUAGCUGGUUUAAGAAAUGGCCUGUGGAUGAUGCAGGAAUCUCCAAGAGGGCAACAGCUAGCUAGCUAGCUAUUCUAAAUUUCCCAAGAUGUCAAAUAGAGACGGUGCCUACUUUCAAUUUUAUUGGGCCCGUUCGUCCUUGGCUCUAUGCCGUGUUCAACAAUAAUGCCUGCAGCAUUAGCAGCAGAAACAUUCCUAACCUAACCCUUUUUGCCCCAGUUUUUACUAUUCUUUGACAAAAAGGUGCUCGCCAUUCUCCCAUGUUGAAAUUACUCACACUCUUUGACCAAAAAGGGACACGUCAAUCUUUGUCACUGUUCACAUUACAUCUAGCUAGCUACGUUUGUUGUCUAUCCCAUUAAUUAUUCUCCACGUACGAUUAAUGCAGACACUUGCUCUUAAUUUCAUCUCAAAAAAGUUCAAACGAAACUCCAAAUUGCGGCCACUUAACUUGGUUGGUAAAUUACGAUGUAAUUUCGAAUUUGGAUGCUAGCUUACAAACUAAUAUGGUUGGAUUACGACUUACGUAAUCUCUUGUGGGUUUAUACAUUGAACUUCCUAAACAACUGUCAUAACGUUUUGAAUUUUAUUGCACCCAUUGUUGACAGUGUAGAGCAUGCAUGGUUAUUGAUGGGCUCUGGACAGCCAAUCCAGGUUAGACCUAAGUUAAUGACAAUCAAGCUAGGUUUUGUUAAUAAAUACUAUAAAACCCUUUAAGAACUCUUUAUUAACAACUCAAGUUAUUGAGAUGUGAUGGUUCUUGAUAGGUUUAGACGAACUAGUUAAACCUGAUCGAGCCCAAGCCAGGAUCAUAAGGCAACCGAUCAUCUUAUUAAAAGUAUAUAAGUCGAUCUCUAGACCCUCCAUCAUUAAGGGCAAAGAUAAUCCAUCUUCAGUCAGAUCGCCAAUCAACCAAUGACACACAUGGCAAUCCAAUAUGAACCCCAAGACUAUAUGUAAAGGAAAUUCUUAUUUAUGACGAGAAUAUGCCCAAGGUUCGGACGCUGUGUACAACCCAGUCAGCUUAAUUCUCGAAACGAGCCACUUAUUAGGCCAUUAGUCAAAAUUGAGCGGAACAAAACAAUUAUCAUUUUGUUGUAAUCAUUUGAGUUUAGGUAGGAUUGAGUGGUUCGGUUCAGUCAUUUUGAUCAGUUUGGAUUGUAUUAUAUAUACGCCAACUUGAUUCAUUAACCAUUAUAAUUAGAUUGAAUAGUGUUAAUUAAUAAGUUGCUUGUUAUAUACCAUCGAUUAUUCUUAUAUCUAUGUGUUAUUUUCUUCUAACAAUAAUCACUAUUUUCAAUGAUUGAACAAGAAGUGGAUGGAGUACGUGGAAGAAAUUGGCAUAGAAUAUAGUUUAGUAGAAGAAGUUGGCAGAAAUUAAAUGUUUGGUUGGAGAAGAAUGUGCACAACUUUGACUAAUUUGCAAUCCCCUCCCUUUAAUAUAUUAAUUAAUUAAUUAAUUAAUAAGGUGUGCAUGCAUGGUGACAAGUACUUUACUAAACAAUAAACUAAUAGCGAUCGAUGCCAAUAAUUAACCUAAAUUCAACGUAGUUAGCAGAAAAGGCAUUAUCAGUAGCUAUUUGUUUAAUAAUUAUGCAUGAACGGUGCAAAACAAAAGAAAGUAGCUAGAAGUUGCAAAGAAACAAGCUAUUUAAUGAUGCAUGGGGCUACUUUUUCUUUCCUAUCACAUUUUCCACGUUCCUGUUUAUUUUUAUUAUAUAUAUAAAAGUAGCCGUGUUUGAGAAACUGUGCAUGGAUUUUCGUGAGGUGCAUGCCAGGCCUAAAUAUAUAUUAUAAAUAAUAAAAGAUCAAACUGCCUAAGAUCAAACUGCCUAACCAUGAUUAAAUUAGUUAUUACAUUGUAGAUGAUUACGACUUGGUAUUAUGCCAUCAUUCCUCUUUUUUCCUACGUCAUGCAUGCACCACUUGCAAUUCAAUUAAACUCCUAGCUCUCUUUAAUUAUGCACAAAAUUCUAAUAUCUACGCGAUUAAUUAUCAUUUAUAAUGAAAUUGUUUUGGUAGUGAAAUUGUGUGUUGGGCUAUUUGAAAAUUCCAACAAAAUAAUUAAUUGUCCAUAAUCACAUUAACCUCAUGUAAAUGAUAUUCUUAAAAUAUGGGUUUAAUUAUGAUUCAGUCCUCGUGGUUGCAUUGCGUACCGGCAACUUACAAGGUGGUGAGCUCGAAUCCAGCAUAAUAUAAUAUUUCUUUCAUUUUUUAUCUCUUAUAAUGAUAUAUAUUUGUCAGGUCUAUUUUUAACUAAAAAAAAUUAAUUCAGAUUUCGAGAAAAUUCGUUGUGGAUAAAAAAAAUAUGGAUGGAAAGACAAAUGGUACCAUUUGAAAUAAUUAGUUUGUGCAGCUUCUUAUGAUUUGGCCAUUCCUUGUGUAGUCAAAAUGGAAUCUUUUGAAAACUUGGGCACUCUUCAUUCUUUCCUAUCCAAUAUAAAUGGCUAUGUUGAAGCAUAGUUUUAUUUAUUUAUUUAUGAAUUGAAUACUGACAUUACUAUUAUUAUUGCGUCUUUCCUAAAGUCCUCUGCGCCACUUUGUUAUUAUCCACGCUCUCGGAAAAAUUAUGGGCGCGAAUUGGUCAGGAAAGACGAUUUUAGCUGCCCAUUGAAAAAAUAAUGAAGCACCAUUGUUCUCAUUGGACAUCUUUUUCCUGUGAAAAAUUCUUCGGGAUUGGUUGUUAAACUAUCCUUCGUUUAUAGAGUAAAUUUUAGGUAUUAUGUUGUUGACUUUCGAAAUCUUUGUACUAUUUAUAACGCUAAACUCUAUUAGGGUUUAGGAUGUAAAUUUGCGAAACUAUCAUGUCAGUACAAGAACAUAUAUCAUCAGUGAAUAACACGUUCCUAACAUAUAUAUUAUUAAAAGUUGCUCUUGAUUAAAGUCACUAGUAGAAAAAUAAUUUCCAUGUUAAUUAAAUCAUUGGCGACCGUAAUUUAUUACAUUUCUGUAUGCCCAAUUGCCCAGGAGCGACCGUUUUAGAGAACUUUCUGUAGAGUUUUAGUGACCAACGAGGACCUUCCCGUCCCAAAAUAUCUCUAGGGACUAUCACGUUAAACGUCCUUAUAGACUUUCGGGGACCGUUUUCACCGCUGAGUUACUGUUUGCUGAGUUUGUUGCGGUCACUAAAGAUCAGUUUUAUUGUAGUUUUUUUUUAAUAUUUAGCGUAUGUUUUGUACAUAAAUGAAGCGCCAUAGUUCUUGAACAUUCGACGACUUCUGUCUUGCAUAUAUAUCUAUCUUUAGAGUGUGGUUGGUUCGCUAUCCGACAAGAUUAGGUAUAUAAUUAAAUCAGUAACGUAACUUAGAUUUGUUUAAUUUGUGUGUUUAACCCAAUGUGUCAAGGGUUUCAAAGCUACAAAAUAGAAAGUCAGAUCAUCAUUACAUAUAAGCUAAUCCUAUUUUGAAAAAUCGAACCCAUUUGAUCAUAUACCCCGGCCAGGUGUGCCAAUUUUUUUGACAUCCGAAUUCGGUUAAACUCCGGUAUUGUACAAUGAUAGGCCUUUACACAUCAGGGUUGAACAUUCUUCUUCCGAAAACAAUUUGUUACCUUAUCCUCGAGCUGGAUUUUGAUAGUAUUAUCUAGAUCUACCAUAGGGUAGGCUGGCCCCCACCAAGUCUAUAUCAAUUGGGUCUAAGUCAAUUUUUUGAUUGGGAGAGCAAGGGACCCAACUUUAGGUUUAAUCUCAAGUUUAAUUCCUUUCUUCUUCCCCUUCAAGAAAAAAUUAGGAUUCAAACUCAAGAUCUAGGUAUGAUAACACCACUAGUCCACAAUCUUAACCAGCUGAGCUAUAAACAUCUGGUCCGUUAUUCAUACUUCUAUUCUCCUAACUUGCUCAACUCUCAAUCGACGUCUAGUUUGCGCAAUUUGUUACUUCGGUGAUUCGGAAAAAUUGGAAUUUAAACUCAGUGAUCAAAUCCCUCGGCGUCUCGAACAAAUUCAUUCAGAAUACGGGUUCUCAAUCAUUAUGGCAUAUACCUUCGGCAAACUUCAUAAUCUGGAUUGAAAAUAUUAGUAACUCUCCGAGAAUCGUGCUAAAUCGGAUGAAUAAUGUAUAGGUUGGGCUCAAUGGGGUUAUUAAGCCUUUACUAAUGACUAUUGAGGCCCAAUAAUCUACCCAAUUCACUGGUGGAGGCGAGAGCCCAACUCAAUACAAAUAGCCUUAAUAACACCCUGAAGUCCUGCUGUUGGGUCGGACCGUUAACCAACUUUCCGAAAUAAAUAGAUUUUACCUUUAUUGGGCCGGACCCAACUCCUCUUCUUCCAGAAUCCAGUCAUCUUAAAGUUGUCUGUUUACUCAUUAGUCAUUACCAUGAUAUCAUCCAUAACAAAAUGAAAAUUAGUCAUUACCAUGAUUAUCCAAGUGAAAUCUGAAAUGUUAGUAAUAGCAGGUUCAAUAGCUUUACAUGAAAUCGUGAUUGGACGGUUCCAUCGUGCAUAUCGACUGGCUAGAUGACCCAGGUACAUUUUUAGCAUACCGAACUCACAAAAUGUUGCUCGAGCUAGUAUUAAGACGAAAUGUUGCGACAAAACGUUUUGUAGUCACUCUUUUUACAAUAGAAAUUUCACCUUAAAAGGAUACCAAAGUGACCAAACUAUUAAAUGGUGGUGAAAAACUAUUUAAAAAAGAAUAGAUGGAUGGUGAUUGGUAAUGGGUAAUGGCCUAAUGAGCAAUAGGAUGUUGAGAGGAAAAAGACAAAGGCAAAAGUGAGAAAGGAUAGACUCCAAAUCCUCAUAAGCAAAGCCAAUUGGUGGAGAAGAAGAUAGGUUGGGUUACUUUGUGGUUGGCUGCCCCAAUCUUCUCUGCCCUUUUGCGCUUUUUCGGUGAUAAAAAGCCCCACGUGGCCUUUUCCGCCAAUUUCUUUGACGAUAGAGUUUGUAUUUGGUGAUUUGAAAGUUUAUGAUUCGAAUCCAGCAUAUUACACAAAAUAAACACCUAUAUAAUACUUAUAAAUUUUUUCUCGUAUGAGAACUUGUUCACCGAAUCUAUUUUCGACUAAAAAAUAAUUCUUCCUUUACCACUGGCCUGUUUUAUUUUAUGUCAACUUCUCCACUCUUCUCUAGCCAAAAGCUAAAGCAUCUUUACAAUAAAUCAAGAAUAUCCAUAAAAGAACAUUAGUAGUGGAGAAAAUUCAUUCGGAUGGUUGAAUUGAUCUAUCCAUGAAUUGGUUGUUUAGUUGGUAAAGUACUUUCACGAUAUCAUAAGUUCGUAAUAAAUUAAGCAACAUAAAGUUACAUAUCUUUAACUCAAUCGCCAAUCAGUUCUAUUUAUCAUUUUAAAAUAUCAGACGAAUAUGUAGUUGUUUGUUAAAAGCCGAAUAGAAAUAGAUUAGGAUUACGAAAGGAUCUUUAUUCAAUUUCUCCUUGUUCGUGCGAAAACAACAAAAUUCGUUACAAAACACUCUCUUAGUUGUGGUUCGGAAGUCAUCUAAGUUCUCACCAUUCACAAAAAUCGGCUAUGUAAAAGAACCUCUUUAGUUUUUACAAACUAUUGAUGAUUCUUUCAACAAUUUCUCUAUAGCUAUCUCUCAGCCAUGUAAGCUCCGACCAUUCCAUUGAAAAUUAGCUACCCAGGCAUUUUUACAGAUCUAUUAAUUCUGCUGUUCUUGCUAAGAAGAAAUACCAAACUCAGGAAAAGAAUAGAAACAAAAGCAAACCUAUACAUUCAUAAUACAAUUUAACGCUCUGUUUCGUGGGAUCUAUCAAUCUAGUUAGUCCGAGCAAAUUCAGCUCUUUUAGAAGGACCAAUCAGUGCCUUCCCGUAGGCUACAGGCAAAGAAGCAAACUUCUUCGCUUUCCCAACAUAAGCUCGCUUUGUGAAGUUAUCGUAGUCGUUCGCUUCAAUGGCGUCCAGUAUCUGCUUAUACAGCAGCAGAGACGCCCACACCGGCCAUCUGCUCGCCCCGUUCAGUUCUCCAACACCUUUCUCCGCCUCGUCGAAGAACAUCCUCGCCCUCUUUAUCUGCCCUUUCAUGAAGCUCCUCCACUUGUCAGUCACUUUCCCUUUGAAUAUGUCUUCGUCUGAUAGCCCGGCUUUCCUCAGCUCGUCCUGCGGCAGAUAUAUCCUUCCUCUCCUCGCACUGUCAGAUCAAAUGAGUUGUAAGAGGCAGAGUACUCUGUUUUUUUUCUUCAGAUUAAUGGAAUGAAAUAUUGCUACUUACUCUUCUCCAACAUCUCUGAGUAUGUUGGUGAGUUGGUUGGCGAUCCCCAAUGCCAAUGCAGCAUUGUAGACGCUCUCGGUUGAAGCUUUCGAUUCAGGGUCGAUUCCCAUUACCGGAACACUCAUUAGACCAACUGUGCCGGCAACAUAGUAGCAGUAUAGGUAGAGCUCAUCAAAGUUGUUGUAUCGCGUCUUUCGUAAAUCCAUCCUCAUUCCUUCUAUCAUGUCCUUGAAAGGCUGGUGGAGAGAAAACACAAGAUUCAAUCAAUUUGUUUUGAAUACUCUAGAGAAAAGUUUGACCAAUGAUCAAAUAAGCUCAUCUAUCUACCUGGAUAUCGACAGGGUACUUCGCGACUGUAUCGGACAGAGCAGCAUCAAACAUGUCAUAUGGACGGCCUUCGAAAAGGUCAUUCAGUCUCGUCUCCCAUCUAUCAAGCGCUUUGGGUGUGAUGUGAGUUGCGUUUGGCCCGUCUACAAGCUCGUCAGUCCUUCUGCACCAAACUUCACAAACCAACAAAUGGAGAUAAAAAAAAAAGUUCAGUCGCCCAUUAAUUACCAGGCCACAUAACAAUGAAACUAAACUCAAACUCUGGGUUGGAACUGGAUGGAACAGUUAAUCACCACCAACUAUCAACAUUAACAGCAAAGAAUCAGAAUUUUGACACACAUGGAUCCCAGCUUACAUACCAUAAAUCGCCCAUACAGCUUUCUUCCUCUCCGGUGUCAUCAGCAAUGUUCCUGCAAUUGGAAAUUAUAUAGCUAUGUCAGAUAUAAACAAAGUUGUGAUAAACCAUAAUUUAAAACCGUCUAUGUAUAGCUGUGAUAUGGUAGCUGACUAGCUGUCAUUGAAAGUGUUCUUCCUAUCUUCCCCUUUACUCUAUCAGAUUCAGAUUUCAGAACCAGCGGGAAAAGAUGGAAUCUCUGAUCUAAGACCGUUGUUCUUAUGCAAGACGCCAUGAAUAAAAUAUACUCAAAAAGGGAGAAAAGUUUGACUCUUUUUGCGAAGCAAUUCAGAUAAAGCGGGAAAUAUAUACAUCUGUUCUACAGAUUUCAACGCAAAUUCCAUCAGCAUAAACUGAGCUGAAAACCAGGCGACAGAUAAACUAAUAAAAAAACUGAGAACUUAUCAUAAAAAAUUCAUCAGCUGGAAAAAGGACAAAUAAACAACAGAGAAAACGGAAUUGAAAAGGCAGAGAAAAAGAAAGGAAUUCGAUAUUUACCCAAGUAAAAAGUCUUGGCAUACUCAGCGCAGACCUCCCCGCACCUAUCGUAAGCGUCAUUCAGCAGAUCCCAAUUCGCUUCCGUUCCCGCUACUGCUUCAUCUCCCCCCACCGCAGCCUCAUCCUCCUCCUUCUCCACCGCCGCCGCCCUCUUCUUCAGCUCCUUCAACAGCGCCGCCUGCUUCAGCACCACCUCGUACACCUUCUUCUCGCUCCCCCUUUCCCUGCCUAUUGCUGCCCGCGCUCCGCCGCACAGGGGGGGGCGACGGCGCCCGAGUACACAGCAGACACACCAAGACUCGAUUUUGAUUUGAACUUCGAUGCCGCAAUUCUCAUCUUCCGAUUCCCGACUCCUCCAGGCCUAAUUCCGAACUGGGUAGCUUCUCCGCCGCCGCCGGAGGUGAUUCUGGGUAUGGAACCGAGGAGGGCGCCGGCAGCCAUGUUUGCAGGAGGAGAAAUUUCUAGCUGGAUUCGUGUGGCUGUGGGAAGGAGAGAGAUGGUGGAGAGUUUGAAGAAGAGAGAGUGUGUGGAAGGGACAGUAGUGAAAGAAGAAUUUGGCCUUUAAUUUCUGUGUCUUUAUAAUUUUGAACAGAGAGUGUGAAUUGUGAUUUCGGGUGGAAUUGCGAUUGCGUUUGGCUAAUAAAGAUAGAACGGGGAAGGGAAAUGUGUGAUGGAGAAUGGUUUUGGCGGUUUCCCUUUCCCCUUCUAUAUCAUUUAAAUUUUGGCCUCUUUGCCAAAUUUUACUAAUAAGUUCUAUACAUUUAAUGUUAGGUGAGAGUAGGGUGAAUUGCGGAAUUUAAUAGUAUGCGGUUCAAUUGUUUAAAAGUUGUAGUUGAAUUGUGAUUAUAUUGGGAUUGUGUCGCAUCAUUUGUUUGAGUAUAUUCAAGGUCGAACUAAUCGGACUGUCUGCACCGUGUAUAAGUUAAAGGUCAAUUUAUAGAUGUAAGAUGUUGGUAAUCUUUGUUAUUUCUUUGAAGCUUUAAGAAACGUUUUAUUAAGAACUCGUUUGGUAUGAGAGACAUCAACUUCAUCUUUUUACUUUUGAUGCCAACCGACCUACAUUAUUAGGUUGAUGCUAGCGAGAAUUGAUCACACUCCUAGGUAGCUCGAUGAGCCGUCACCAGAUUAAUCUUUUGUUGUUGAUCCAUUCUCCAAAGAACAUUAUCUACAAUGGAUAUUUCAUGAAAAAAAGUAUAACACUUCACACAAAUCUCACAUUGACAAAACACCAAAAAGAUUCAUGAGUUAUAAAGAACAAUCCGACAUUAACUAACAAGACGCGUUUUCAAAGUAAUAUAAAGAGAAAAACUUCAAAAUUAAUCAUGUUCGAGUAGGAACACUGCAUAUAUGAAUAACCUCUUAAAAAGUCAUCAUGAUGCACCGAAAAGCAUAUCCAAGAUGUUAGGUUCACUAUUCGUCAUCAUCCCGAAAACCAAUCCAAUUGAAUUGAGGAUUAUAUAGUUGGUGGUUGGAAACAUUAAUUUUCAACGAAUGUCCACCAACAUAAAUAAUUAUGGUAUAUAUUAACUAAAACACUCCUUAAUGGUGCAUUAUCUUCUAGUAAAUAACUAUAUGAUCCAUCUCCAUUAAUAAACACAGAGACAAAGGGGGAGAAAAGGUUGUGGCGGAAAGGCCAAUGGGGAAGGAAUAUCCACUCCAUUGAUCACACCACCAUGGCUCCUAAGUAUCCUCCAAACCUACACUUCUGUUUCUUUUCUGUUUGUCCCAUUAUCUCUUUGGGUGGCUUAACUACACUUUGUCCGUAUACUUAUAACAAUGAACCGUUGAUAAUUUUGAUCAAACCACAAAUGAACCGUUGACAAUUCACUCCAUUUCUUGUUAUAUCUUUUCUUCCCAUGUAUCCCAGCCAGCUCUUACCCUAGUUAGGGGGGACAGUUGUUAGCUUAUACAACGCAAAAUCAUGGGUGGACGAACUUAGUUAGGGAGGUUAUUUGAUUUGAAGUGAAAAUUCUAUGUAAAUUUAUGAAAUUUUACCUAGUAUGUUUUCGAAUUUUUCACCUAAAUGUGUUUCCGAACUUACUUUAAAUGUAAAAUCAUGUUUAAGGUCUCUUACCAUAUUAGUUCCGCUAUUGAGCUUAUACAUGAGAUUAGACGUUCCCUCAUGGACUCAGACCCAAAUAUAUGUACUUUGUCCACGUGUUUCGUUUCAUACUUCUUAAUCUUCAUAAACCUAAAUCAUAAAAACGGAAAGUUAUGCACGAGAAUGCCAAAUCCAUCCCAACCCACUCAAUCCUCAAUCCGAACAAUUGCCACCGCACAAAACACAACAAAUGUCUUUAUAAUAUAAGGCCCAACUAUGUACCAGACGUCAAAAAUCAACGAUUAUUUAUUUAUAUAAAAUACAAAACAAGGUCACAUUUGUGAAAAGAUUAAUGUAAUGGGGCAACGGCCAACUUAAUUACCCACUUAUUUAAUUUAUAAUUAAUUGUUUCCUCCCUCGAAAAGGAUUGAGAAUGACUCACUUCUUCAUUAAUAUAGAUCGAUUGGUUUGUAAAGCCGUCGUUGUAUGUAGACGGCAGCUCACUGAGACAUCCAAAUGCUCCCUUUUCAACAUCUAUAUCAAUUUAGGGUGGAUGCAUCAUCAAUCAAUGGGUUUAGUUAUAAUUAGUUCUUAAUUUACUAGCUACUUACCUCACAAACUAACCAAAAAAAGAUUAAAUAAGUUGCUGUUUAGCGAUCAAAUGUGAUGUUUGUGAGUUAUCCUCUAAUUCUCAAUUCAUACCGUUUUGUCAUAUAACUACAGGAGAUCAAUUCUCAUAUGAAUUGGGAUAAGGGUUUUAGACGGGUCAACUUCAAGUUCGACUAUAUUAUUGCUAAUUUGUCCAUCUUCUUCAGGCCCGUCAUCUGAGAACCAUAGCCACUCGGCUCCUAUCCGCCAUGCUCAACAAUUACAGGAUCGUUCCCUUCUUAGUCGGCUUCAAUUGUAUUGAGCUUUCUGGUAUGAUUUUAUUGUACGCACAAGUUUCUUUUUAUAGCUUGCUUAAUUGAUUUUUCCGAAUCAUGCUUGAUUUUAAUCGAGGUUAGAAUGUGUUUGCCCGGCAUUUUGUAUCAGUCGAGAAUUGUAGAUGCGAAUCCCUUGUGGUUUGGAUGUUUGUACACUGCAAGUCACUGUCACCAGCUACCGGCUAAGUACUCCUUACGCCAGCCUAAUUAACUUAAUUAAGUAUCAUCAUUACCAUUUUAAAUUAAUUAGCCCAUCAUUAUUCAUUAGUUGUUUAGAGUUUGUCAUAUAUUUGAUCAUUCAUUUAUUAAUUGGCCUGCAUCGCCAGAUUUUUGUGAGUAAAUAUCAAAAUAUAUAUGGUAUAGUUGUAAAUUUAAUUUAGCCGACUGUUGACGUGAUCAUCGAUCAUAAAGGGUCGUGUAUAUAUCAUAUAUAAAGUUUGUAUAUAGGUACGUUCACAUAAUAUGUAAAUUUUUGUUAUUGCUUAUAAAAGAAGUUGUUUAUUUAUUUAUUUUUUAUAAAAUACCUCUUAAAAAUAUUUAAAAUAGCAAGCCAAUCUAAAUUAACAAAUUAUCUUAAUUUAUCUAAAAGAAGAGGGGGGAGGUGUAGAGUUGAGGGAAGGGAAAGACAGGGGUGGUGGAGCCGAAAUCUAUCAAAUUAUUGUCAUUGAUACCUUCAGAAGGAUAAAUUGCAAAGGGAGGAAAAGCAUGACAUAAAUUAUAAAGUUAAGCGAGUUGUGUCAUGCGCUAAAUAGUUGGAUUGUGUUUGAAUGUAGAAGAUUUUAUAUCGAAAAAACCCCUAAAAAUAUCUGAUUUUUUGAAUAAUCACUCCCCUAUGAGAAUGUAACAAAACCGAAUGAGAGAUUUUUUCUUGAACAACAGAGAUACAUCCUUUAAAAUCUAUUUUCGCUAAAUUUCGUUUGCUACCCCCAAAGUAUGCAUGGCUUCUCGUAAGGUCAAAGCAUUGGAUUUGAGCAUGAGAUUAAGACGAGAAAACAAAUCAAAGAACAAGUAGGUAAUCACUAUCAAAAGCCGGCAAACUGGGACCAAUAAUUCUGGGUUCACAACACUGUAGGAAGCUGAUGCUGCUUGCUCAAGUAUAGGAAUUGGACAGUACAAAUUAAACGUUACAUCUUCCUUCUCGUCUGAGGAAAAUUCAUUUCCAUUUCCAUGAUCCAUCAUCAUCAUCGAUGUACAGACUUCGUAUGGCACGUACUAAAAAUAUGAAAAUUUUAAUAAUAUUUUUAGCAUUGACUAAUUAAAUGGUGGAUAUAUAACAUACGUGACAAUGAAGGUACAUGUGAAAUAUCCGAUACAUAAGGGGGCUAGCUUAUGUACGCGCCUAAUUCAAACUGUUGUCUUAAUUUGCUUCUAGAUAGAGCUAAAAGCAAAUUAAUUAACAAGUUAAUUAACCAUUAGCUCCAGUGUGUCAGCACACGACGCAAUUUAUUUCGCUAUUUUAUGGAACAAUUAACACCGACUAGCUUUCUAGUCUUUAUCAUAAAAAUUAUAACAUCGACACCCCUAUACUUUUCCGAGUAACUUAGAAUCUCGUAGGUUAGAAUAGAUAUUUGUUUUUUCCGUGUCUUCCUCCCAUAAAACCGUCUUCUUUAUAUAGACAAAGGGUCUAGGGGUGAAGGGGUACAAGUUAAUACACCAAGAGACAUCCUUAUCUCUAAAGAUAGACUCGAAGAGGUGUGGACCAAUUCGUCGUAGGAGAAAGAGUAACCACCCCGAUCACCUCGCUCCCUGCCAGCACCGUAGCUCAGCUUAGCAUCGCAGCUAGUGGCACUGACAUCAAGCUCAAGUUGAGCCGGUUGAACUGUAGUGUCAGUUUCUAGCAUCAACUAGCUCAUAGAGGAGUUGAUGCUAACUAGUUCCUGCUUGCUCAAAACUGAGGUGAGGUCCCCGCGAAUCCACGCAUCCGUACCAACACCGACAUAGCACCAACGUCAAUUCCUUGACAUCACACUAAAAUCGAACUUUAAGUGCAUAUUUUCAACAUCAAUUCAAACCCAUUGUAAAAAAAUUCGAAAUACACAUAUAUAUUUGUUAGUACUUUUAAUCACUCAACCUUGUCCACUCCUCCGAGAAUUAAACAAUUUAAAAUGGUUUCUCAAAUACAAUAAGGUAUUUGGUGCAUCGUUAAAAAAUGGUUUGGCUCUCACUCCUCCACGACGUCCAACACUAAUAGAUGGAGAACGUUGAACAAAAACUAAUGGUAGUAAGUAAGUGCAUCCUCUCUAAAUUGUUAUUAUUUGUCCGCAUUAUUAGGAAAAAAGAUCAAUCCCAGAUUCGCUUUGUGUCGGAUUGAAAAGAACAACCACAGCGUCAUAAUAAUCAAUGACAAUAAUAAUAGAGCUAGCUAAAUAAAUAUUAGAAAAAGGGCAUGAUGCUCUGUACGCGUUUAGUACCACUCUCGAGCUAUUGACAACGGAUGUGCGAAUGGUUGUCUGCGGUUGAGGAUGUCCAUAUCCGAGACCGGACUGUUAGGCUUAGUCGUCACAUCAGGACGGAGGUGCAUAUAUUCUGAAAACUGGCGUCUUCUGAGUGGGUUGCCCUUAAUUCAGAUGGUUCAGUUAAUUAAGAGACGGGUCAAGCAGUUGCAAGAGGCUUGAUUCGUUAUUCAACUGGUCGUAUUUUAUCGGCAUACAACAUUUGCCCGGGGUGUGUUCGAUUACUCGGGCGGAGUUAAGGGCUGCUGGUACAGGCCUCCAAAUAGCUUGGGAGAGAGGAUACCGGAGAGUACAUAUGCAACUCGACUCCCGUUGAGCAUUGCAGUUGAUACGCUAGGUGUUAGGAGAGAUUCACCACCACUCUGCUGCCGUGGAUCAGAUUCAGACAGGCAUGAGAACUCGAGUUCGUUCAUACAUAUCGUGAAGACAAUCAUGCUGCUGAUUAUCUUACUAGCAUUGGUACAAAAUACCCUUUAGUGUUACUCUUUUCCUAUUUUAAAUUCUAUUUUAAUUUAUUAAUUUCACUAUAAUACACUUGAUGUUUCUAAAAAUAAAUUAAUAAUGAAUGAAAGUUAGAUCCACGCCACCUAAAAUUUUCCAAAAAAGAAGAAGCGUAUGAUGCUGAAGCAUCCCAACACCGGCUUGCCAAGUAGCUACCUAUUACGAAUUAUUAUCACCAUUAUAAUUAUUAAUUUAACAUACUGGGUUCUUUUUUAUUUUUGUUUUUAUUUACGAGGGUUCAGCAAGUAGUAUUGUUGCAUGUUGGCCAUGUUGGCUCGUACGUUAUUCUGCAUACGUGGAACCAAUUUUUGCCAUAGCAUUUUGGACCAGCUGUGACCUGUACACUUACCCUUUUUGAGUACAUUCUGGGUACACCUUUUUUUCUAUUAAGUACACUUGUCAUGCACAAAGUGAUUAAUGCGACACAAAUUAGGAAAAUUAAAAAUGGUUGGUGAGAGAUCUGGGCACAUGGAAAUUAAAAGGGUUAUUAUCCGCCGUUUUAAUUUUUUUUUGAAAAAAACGCUUUAAUUAUUAUAAAUGACGCAAUUGUUUUUAUUAAAUUUAUAAAUUCUAAAUAUUAAUCGGUUUAUAAAAAAUUUCGACGAGUCAUCGAUGAAUCACCGACGAAAUUCCAACAAACUCCUGACCAUCAUCCGUCUAUCCCAACUUUUAUCGCGGAUUAUCAACGAUCAACUUCAGGUCUGCAAAACUAGAUACUGCCGAUGAUUUCAUUUAUGGAAGCCUUGAAUUAAUUGCCAUAAACAGUUCUCAAUCAGUGCACGUAAUCAUCAUCAUCAUUAUACCAAAUUAAUGGCCAUUGAUUUGAUUUCAUUAGCUUAUUUUAGUUAACUGCUACUAAACAGGUGGGGGGUUAGGGUAAUUUCAUGAAACAGCCGCCGUCGCCGGCGAGAUCCAUAAGGUUCGGAUCAGGUGGCUCUCAGGUGGUACAAUUUCAUAGUUUGCUUGUAAUUAAUUAAAUACUGUAUAAGUUAAAUUGAUUUGAUCGAUUAUUUUUUACGGAGGAUGUCAAAAAAUGAUCGUUAUACCUUUAAUCAUAUUCAUUGGAGAUUUUUCGAAAAUAGAAUGACUCAUUAAUUUUGAUUUAUAAUUUUUAUAAUCGAAAAGAGUAAUUAUAUAUUUAAACACGUUUAAAAAAAAGGCCGGCGAAUAGUAAUUCAGAAUUUAAUUAAAAAUGAGCGUUUCGUGUAACGCUGGCCCGGAUUUGCAUUGGGCCUAAGCCCAUAAAAUACCUCGUUACUGGAUUACUGAACUUUCCAUCUCCCAUCUCAAAACUCAAACCGGACAUAUGUGAGUGAAUCAAAUGAAUGACCGCUAAUUGAUUUCAAUAUUUUUAUUUUAUUUUUCAGUAUUCUUCAUGUUCAUGGAGAUAUGAGUUGCAUAUUUAGAUAUUUAGGAUCGAAACAUGUGUUGAGUUGGAUUUCAAUUGUAAUUUAUGUAUCGAAUAAUCAAUUAAUGAACUUAUAUUCUUAAACGUAAUACUACAAAACACAUUUGGUGUGUAUAUAUCGAAUACUGAAAAAAACAACAAAACACGAAAUCGGAUCUAAAAUUAUCAAAAUGCAAGAACAGAAUCUGUAUUCGGAGAUAAUACGAUAGCAACAAGAAUCACAUUAAAAAAAGACACAAUUUGCAUAAAUAUGCAUUAAUACUUUACCAAAUAACUUGAAGAUGUACAUAGAGAUAAUUAGAGCUUAACCAGCCCAUCCUCCCCACAAGAUGGCUUACAAAUACAGUUCAACUUCACAAAUGUACUUUACAAACAUAUUUUAUGCAUUCACUGCAUUUUUUUAUAUAGAAUCGUGGCUAUAUCUUUUCACUUAGGCAGUGGGAGUCAGUGGGAUAGGAAGCUUGCAUAGCAAUUCCGCAGAGACCUUCUUUAGCGGUAACAUCUUUCUGCAUACGAAUGUAUCCAGCUUCUCCCCACUGCGCUCCCCACGAAUUCUUCACCAACCAGUACUUCAUCCCACCGCUUUCUCCAUACCCGACUGCUGUCACUCCAUGGUCUAGCGCAGUUCCGCAUUCUCCAGUAAAGAUCCCGCUCGAGUAGAAUUGGAAGGACGAAUCCCCUGCAUCAAUUGCCACUGAAAUCGGUUGGCUCGCCACAGCCUUCAUCAAUGCGGCCUCGUUGUUGGCUGGCACAUCUUCGUACCCUGAAAUCUUGGCUGCACUGCUGCUUUCUUUGUUAGCAUUGCAGGUUCCGUCAGCAGCGUCAUAAGGGUAGUUGGUCUCGGUGGUCAAGCCCUUGUUUUGAAUAACGAACUUGAACGCAUCAUCCAUCAACCCACCGUUACAUCCUUGGUCCUCUCCCUUGGUGUCGCAGUCAACCAAUUCCUGUUCAGAAAGGGACACCAAUUUGCCAGUACUGAGCUGGUGGAUUCCUUCCAUUGCUCCCACGGCCGAAAAUGCCCAACAGCUUCCGCACUGACCCUGGUCUUUGAUAGGAGUGACUGCUCCCUUCUUCCUCCAGUCCAUUGUCGUUGGGACUGCGCUCAAGUUUUCGUACCUAAAUGGUCCCUGUUGCGGAGAGCACAUGUGUCCCUUGAACCCGUUUCGAGAGGCUUUGAACUCGUCGUUAGUCAAAUCAGCAAACUGAUUGACUCCAAGCUUGUAAGGCUUAUCGCCAGCAGCAUUGGAAGAGUCGAUGAAAGCUACAUUGUCUUUGAAGAUCCGGAAUCGAGCCUCCUUUUCAGUGGGACUAUCGUAGACUCGUCCGUAACGAGUCAUCCAUUGGUCAUAUCUGAGUCGGAUGGAAGCUUCGGAAAGUGUAUAGCGUGCCGUGGUGUGAGAAGCCAGAGCUCCCAGGAUGAAUAUUGAAGCCAAUAGAAUGAAUUUGCAGUUUGGAGAGGCCAUUUAGUUUAGAUUAGAGAGGUUUGUGUGUGAGUUUGAAGGGAUUGAUAUGCUCUGCUCUUUAUAUGGAUCAGUCAAGCCACUGGAUUUUUUAUCAAUAAUCAAGUGAUCAAUCAAACUGUACAUUGUGCUAAUCGCAUUCAGAUUAUGAAGUUGAAAGGUGAAGUGUUAUUUCCCCCUAAUUAAAAUGGCACAUCAACGUGGCUUUUAAAGCCUUUUCAUUCUAAACCAUAACUUGUUGGUAAUUAACUAAUCAAAUAUUCAAACUGAAUCCAAAAAUGGACAUCUUUAUUGUUGAUUCCUUUCCCACUUUUUGACGUCUAAAUUGGUGAAAUUAAAAGUGUACGGGUCGUUUGGAUAUAUGAUUUGAAACGUUAACAAAUUUUAAUUAAGAGUUUCAGAAUGAGUAAGAUUGUUUUAAUUAUUACAUAAGAUUCAAAUAUUUUAUUACUCAAGCCAGAUUUGCUAAUUAGAUUUGAAAAUGAUCUUUUCUUUUUAUAAAUGAUCUCCAAGAAUGAAAUUAGUUUGUAAGAAACUAUUAUAUAUAGUCCAUAUCUUACUUUCCGCACAUACAUCUUAACUAACUAACAACAAUCAUAAUUCUUAAAAAAUAUUUUUUAAUUACAUUUGGUUAUUAUUUUAAGAAUUUAAAAAGGUAAAUCCUCAAUUUUUAGUCAUUCCAAAUAUAAUAGUUAUUUUAAUAAAAUAAGAAAUAAUUCUUUUCAUUUAGUCCAUUAAUAUUAAAGGUGAAUUCUUCGGUAUACCUAGUAUACAAAAAAUUUUGGUGUGCUCAAUUUUUUUGGUAACGUAAAUCCAUCAUCAACGUCCAUUUUCAGUUUGCGAUCUCGAUGGUUCAUAAUUAUUCGAAUAUUAAAUUUCUAUUUCACAUUUUAUUUUUAUCUCAUAUGUUUUCUCAAUUUGACAAAAGAUCUUGCUUUCUCAAUUUGACAAAGGAGCUUUAGCAAGCUAAGACAUCAGCUCAGAGAGCAAGAGAGGGAGAUGAAGGAA